UGAUGAUGACUUCCUGAGCGUUAAUGGUGGUAAGAUACAGAUUUAUAUUUUGGUGACAUCAGUGGGAUAAGCAGACGGAUAUUUCACCGUUCACACACCAUUGCUUGCACAUAGAAGCUAUAAUAUAGCCUUAUUAAAUUGUGCCUAGUUAUGUUGCUGUGUUUCUUGACUGCUUGAUGAUUAGAACCUUUUACUGUUAGCAUCGUAUUAAAAAUUCAUCGAAGUGUUUUAUCCUGAUAUUCUUUGGACAUCUGGUGCAGAGUUUACCCCUUCUCGGGGUAGCACUCCAUUACAUAGCUUUAGUACAGCUCCACAAGUCAACAAAGCCCUUUUUGAGGACUCUGCCCUGGGCGGUGCAAUAAAAAAUCAACCAUAUCCACCUGAGAAGAAAAUCAGUUUAUCUGACCUAUUUAAUCAGAGUUUUCGAGCUAAGCAGGACGCUGACUUCGAGCAAAAUACAUCUGGUAGUUCAAGUGACACAAAUUAUAGCUCCAGUAUGCCGAGCAGCGAACAAACAGCAAAUGGAGAUUUCAAGGUUGAACCAGAGAAAUCUUUCAUUUCUUCGCAGUGUUGCCUUCCGAGUCUGGGCAGGCGGGUAACUUUACUGAAAGAAACAAGAUGAGCUUGUCCAUAGUUUAAAUUAACAUAUAUAUGCACCACAAUUAUCUUUGGUGUUUAUAAACUUUGUCAAGCCAAUUCUUUUUGGCAAUGAUAUAUAUAUCAGGGAGAUUUAAGUUGAUAUAAAAACAUACAGUAUAAAACAUAAAGUGCAUUUACUUUGUUUAUCUCCUUUAAAACAUAUAAAACAUAUAGUGCAUUACUUUGUUUAUCUCCUUUUAAUAUUUAAAGGUUGUGUAUUAAAGAAGCAUUAGUUAACUUAGUUGAAACACAUGAAUAGAAACCAGGACUCACCCCAUCUCAUUAUAAUAGUUUCCUUUGCAAAUUUUACAUAUGUUAAAAAAUAUUAAAUAUGAUGUAUUAUUAUUGUCAUCAUUAAAAUUGUAUUAUUUAUACAUUAAUAUAACCAAAUUAUCACCCAUUUAAUUAGAAUUUUAUAAUUAUUUUUUUAAUAAUUUGAAAGUUGUGAGAGUCAAUGAUAGUCAAUGUUGGAAAUAAUGUAAAAAUUGUAUCUACCUUUUCUCGAAAGUCGUUGACUGUUACAAAUAUAUCUACAAUAUAUAUCUACACACACAUAUAUUACACAAUUAUAUAUUUAAUAUAUUAUAACAUAUAUGUAAAUAAAAUCAUGUACAAAUAUUCAUGUAUUUUUGCGUAUUUCGCAACUCAAAAUGAAAACCCAAAUCCCACCCGAAAUCUAACGUGUAAUUUCGUAUUUGGUACUUUCGUGUUUUGUGUACCAAAAAUCAAAACUCAUAUUCAUUUUUUUUCGUGUUGGCGUGUUACGUGCCAAUCAAAUCCGACGCAUAUCUCGAGCAGUACGUCUCAAUCCGACGCAUAUCAGUUGUGAACAUAGUAGAAUCAUAAUUGAAGUUACAUGUGUACACAAAUUCAGAAUUAUCAAUUACAUCGUAUCCUCAAAAUAUUGAAUAAUUUUUUUCGUGAAAGUUAAGCUGUUGCUAUAUGUACCUCCAUGCCAUAUUUGAUGUGAAUCUUACGAAUCACUCAAAAUAUCAUAUAAGCUCUUAUAAAAAAAUUGAGUACUCCCUCUGUUUUUUUUAAUAUGUCACUUUUGACUUGGACACGUAACUUUGGGUGGGUUGACCAGAUAGAAAAAAUAAUUAUUUUUAAUUGAUUUUUUUUGUGAAAUAAAAGUCAAACGUUCAAACGUCCAAAAGCAUUUAAAAUUGUGUGCCAAAAAGUCAAACGUCAUAUAUUAAAAAAUAGAGGGAGUAAUUGACAAUUUGCACCCCACAAGUUUAAGCACUUUUUCAAUUUGGUCUCAAACAAAAUUUCUUGUCAAUAUGCACCCCAAUGUUUAAAAAGCGAUUCAAUAUGCACCAUUUUGACCUAAUUCUGUCAAAUUGACUGUUAAAAUUAACGGCUGUAUGGGUAAAAUAGUAAUUCUGUAGACUUCCUUCUACUAUAUUUUCCAUACAUAAUAUUAUUUUUAAUCAAAUAAAUUUUAAAUUUUUUAUAAUUGACCGAUUAAUCCGAUUGUUGAAUGACUUUUUCAAAAAACGGGCUCAUUAACGCUUAAUCGAGACGGUGCCCGUCCGAACAACAAUUUAUCGACAAUUAAUCCGCUUAAUCGCCGACUUUUAGAACACUUAUUACUACUCUUAAUAUAUGUAUAAAAAAAACAAGUGGGGGCAGAUUCCCAUCUCUGAACAAAAUGAAAGUUAACUCUUCCUUCAGUUCUCCUUCAUCAGCUUCAGAAGUACACGAAAGAAAAAGAAAUGCUGAGUCUUCAGGCUUUGUCUUACUUAAAAGUUUUCUUAGCCUUAGUUGUUAUAGCAUAUUCUCAUCAUGCCUUAGCUUCCAGCCGCCGUCUGGCCAAGACAACCAGUGAUCAAGCUGCCACUGCACCGCCUACCGGUAUAUGCCACACUGCCGAGAUCAUUCAUGGUUAUGAGUGCCACGAGUUUCACGUAUGUUAUAUAUUGUAAGAGAUAAAAAAAUUAGUCAUUAUACAAGCAAAAUUUCAUUCUUUUCAAUAAUAUUUAUGUGCAGGUUACUACAGCUGAUGGAUUUAUUUUGAGCCUGCAAAGAUUUCCACAAGGUAAAACUGGAGGCGGUGGAAGUCAUAAGCAGCCUGUCUUGCUGCAACAUGGAGUUCUUGUGGUAAGCUUAAUUAAUUAAAUUAUAUGUGUAUUUAGGACUGUAAAUAUCAUUAAUAAUUUAGCCUAGAAAAACAAUAUUUCUUUAUUAUUAUUUUUAUUAUUUAUGAAAGAUAUGUUGUUGCUAUAUGAACCCGUGAACAACUUACCCCAACUUGGCCCGUGAAGAGUUGGCAUGUUGUCCACGAGGACAAACAGAGCUGCUACUAUUAUUAGCAACUACAAUUGGAAAAUGAACAUAACUUUAAGUAUAGAAACAUCAAUUUGUACAGAAGGUUUUUGUCAGUUAAGAAGUGUAGGUACUUAGUUAUACAUUUUCUGAAUUCGGCCUUAAAUAAUUAAGGAGCUCACUUAUGUAAGUUUGUCGUAUGGAUAAUAUUUUUGGUAUCAUUUGUAGGAUGAUUGGAAUCCAAUGUAUGUCAGCAUGUAAAUAAUUAAGAUUCUCCGAUUAAUUUAAAUUUUGUGCUGGUAGGAUGGAAUGACAUGGCUGCUGAAUCCAGCCAACCAAUCUCUUGCACUGGUAUUAGCUGAUAAUGGUUAUGAUGUGUGGAUUGCUAAUACCAGAGGCACCAGAUUCAGCCGAAGACAUGUAUCGCUUGAUCCCAGUAAUCCGGUAUAAAUUGCGUGUUUUGGUGAAUUUUGUUCUGUAAUCAGUAAAUACAGGAGUAAUUUUUGUUGUUCGUAGCACCAUAUAUCUAUCUGAUAAGAUAUAUCCACUGGAAUUAAAAGGAUUUUUGGGACUGGACAUGGGAUGCUUUGGUAGCUCAUGAUUUACCAGCCACAAUCGAUUUUGUGUUCAAACAAACUGGGCAGAAGAUACAUUAUGUAGGCCACUCACUGGUAAGAAUUAUGGUUUGAGUUUCACUAAUAAUUUGUCUUCUACAGCCAGUUGCGAUGGGUGUUCUAUACAUUUAUUAUUCAGCGAGGUUUGCAACAUUUGAAUACGUUUAACUUGGCAGGGAACUUUAGUAGCUCUAACUUCAUUCUCAGAAGGAAAACAAGUAGACAAGGUGAAAUCAGCAGCACUGCUAAGUCCAAUUGCUUACUUGAACCAUAUGACCACUGCACUCGGUGUUCUUGCAGCCAGAGCCUUUGUCGGUGAGGUACACAUCUAUGCACUUCCCCUGUAUUUUUUCGUUACUUAAAAAUAAAUCUACCUUGAGAAGAAUCGUGUGACUAGUCAAGCCUUUCCUCAUGGCUUACGCUGACAAGUAUGACAUUAUUCAGGACUUACAAAAUUGUAGCUACAGACGUAAUCCUGGCAACAUAUACUAUACUUGUAGAUGAAAAGAUUUGUUAGCCAAAUUGCGGAUUCUUAAUGUACAAUUAUUUUAUACAUACCUGAUCAUGGUUUCUCAACAGAUCACUACAAUCGCCGGUUUUGCAGAAUUCAAUCCAAAAGGGUAAAUCUCAAAUUGUCCUAAAUUCAUCUUAAAGUUACACUUGAUAUAUCUAUUUUUCCUACCCUCUCUAAAUAGAUAAGCAACCGAAAAUCUGCAUAUGUGGUAUAAAUUUUCAUUUUACCUUUGUUUUUAUUGACUAUUGCAGAGAGCCAGUAGCCAACUUUCUCAAGGCAUUGUGCCUUGAUCCGCAAGUAGACUGUUUUGAUCUAAUCACCGCUCUUACAGGUAAAUGUGUGUUAAUUACCAUCUCUAUUUCUUAUAAAGCAGAUGCACAUAUUUUACUCAGUAAUUCUCUUAAUUUUAUUCUUUAGAGCAUGUAGUCACAAUUAAUUACUAAACUUCAACUCGAUCUGUAGGCAAGAACUGCUGUCUCAAUACUUCUACUGUUGAUCUCUUCUUGAAGAAUGAGCCUCAAUCGACAGCAACGAAGAACUUGGUGCAUCUAGCUCAGAGUAAGUCACUUGGUAGUUUUCUUAUAUGAUCGACAAUUUGAUCUAUUGCUAUUAUACUAAAAAGCUAAACAUAAUUACUUAUGUGUUGAAACACAAUACAAUUUUGCAGCCAUUCGAGACGGAAGAUUGGCCAAAUACGAUUACGGAAGCGCAGACUUCAACCAGGAGCAUUACGGUGACUCUCAGCCUCCUGUCUAUAAUCUGUCCAACAUUCCGCACGACCUUCCUCUUUUCCUGAGCUAUGGAGGCCAGGAUUCGCUUUCAGAUGUUAAAGACGUGCAGAAGUUGCUUGAUAAUCUGAAGUUGCAUGAUGUAGACAAGAUUAACAUUCAGUACAUCGAAGAUUUUGCACAUUCAGAUUUCAUAUUGGGAACCACUGCCAAGGAUAUCGUGUACAAUCAAAUGAUGGCCUUCUUCAAGCGCCACCAGUAGACAGUAGUAGUCAUAUAUAAACUAGGAUUUUUUGCCCGCUACGCAUGGGUAGAGAGAUGAUUUUUUCCGCAAAAUUAAUUGUGACCAAAUUCUCAAAAAUACUGUUUGCUAUUAAUUUUUUAUUUUACUAAUAAAACCUUUUUUUUAUACAAAAGGUGUAGAGGUUGAUUUGAGAUGGGAGUCAGCUCCUUGGGCAGUUAAAAAGAACAAAAAUUAAUUUUCUUAUUCUCUCUUCCCUUGUCUCUAAUAAAUGCUAUUGUAUUUAAGUGCUAUUUGCCCCCAUCUUAAAAUUGCAAAACUGAAUGGGAGAGUUCUUCUACGGCUUAGUAAAAAUUAUCACUGAUAGUCUUCUUCACCGCCAGUGGCUCGGUUCUCUGCUUCCCAAAUGAAAUUCGUCAAAGUGCUGAGUCGUGUCGACAGUGUUCUGGACUCGCUUCGCAUGGUUAUAUGUUUUAAUUUUUUAUAUAUUUAUUAUAAUAAUUAUAUUAAAUGCUUGUAUAUUUAUAUCUAAAUUUAUUUAUGCACACCAAAAUUUUAUUUAGACUUUAUCCCGUUUUCCUUAAAAAUUAAGAAUAAUUUGAUUAAAUAUUAAGAAUAGAAAAAAAUACAUAAAUAAAUUUUCAAUAUUAUUAUGAUUUGAUUAUUCAUGCGUAACUAUUCGGCAUGACCGAGCGGCCAUACCUCGGCUUUCAAAAAUAUAUAUUUUCAAUAUUAUUAUGAUUUUUAAUAAACAUAAUAGUUGAUUUAAAUGCAAUGAAUAUCAUAAAAGGCCUACUUUUAAAAUAACAUAUUAUAAUACUUUGCUAGUAUUAUAUAUUUAUAUCUAAAUUUAUUUAUGCAUUAAAAUUUUAUUUUGGACUUUAUCUCUAUUUUCUAAAUAAUUAGGAGUAAUUUGAUUACAAAAAUUAUGGUUAGAAAAUACAUGAAAAAAUCUAGGAUGGGCAUGUAGCACCAUCAUAAUUUUAAUACUUAUUUAAAACAGAUUAGCAUAAAAAUACACUUUAACCUAAAUAUAUGCUCUCACCGGAACAGCACCUGAACACAUUGGUAUCAUAACAAACAAUACAUGGCCAGAACAAAAAAGAAGAGAAACCGAGAACACACUUGACGGAUCUACUACUUCACUGAGGCUGAUAAUCUACGUAAAUGUUUGACCAAUUACACAUUAACUUUCUAUCCUUAAUAUACAAUUUUUCAAGUAGACCAUUUAUAUGACUAAUUUUCAAUAUCACAGUAAGGGUGUCCAUAUCUCUCUGACUUCUUCCUCUGUUAUUCAUCCAUCUGCAACUUUAUCAACUCUGCCAUAAAAUUAUCCUCCAAAUUAUAUACUAUAAUUACUAAUAAAGUAUGCUGAAGCAUCAUGAGCCAAUGAUGUUUGAUCAUAUUUUCCUACUUGCAUGUCGAAGAAAGUUCAAAAUCUAGAGUCGAAACUUUGAUUAAAAAUUUGUUCCCAGAACUCUUUCAACUCUGAUUUGUUCAUCAAUCCAGUACAACAUAGUCAGCCUCAUCGACACACCACAUCCGAAUCACUUUGAUUUGCAACUUUGCAUAUAGAUAGAGUUAUUUACGUAAAUUCAUCAUGAUUAAUGUGUUGAAGAAUUCCAAGCCUGCAGGAACACAAAACGAUCAAAUGUGAUUAUUCUUUAACCAUUGAUAUCUAAGUAGACCUUAAAAUCCCAAACUUUGUCGUAUCAAUAUCCUAUAUCAGGGGCAGAGCCAUUUGGAUCCCAGGUACUCCAUGGCUACCCCGUAUCAAGGGCGGAGCUACAUGGAGCCGUAUAUAGAAUUUCUAUGUUAUUUGUUUUGAUAAGAUUAGUUAGUUGAUUUGUCAAAGAAGUUAUAAAAUAAAUUUUUAGUUCGAGACUUUGAGAAGCAAAAAAGAUGAGAAUUGCAACUGUAUCAAAAAAGCAGAUGAAAGAUUGAUAUUUAAUUUAAGAAUAUAUAUUUUGUUCAGUACAGAUCUCAUGAUCGUACCACUGAAGGGAAAAGCCACGGGCAACUUAUUCCAUGAAUUAAAGGUAUAUGCAUUCAUUAUGUUAUUUUCUUGCUUUCUCUUGGCUUGGUUGAAUAUAUAUUUAGUUUGUAAAAUUUAGUAGUAAUUCAUCUGUAAGGUUGUAACAUGUGUAGAAAAUACUUCCUUUGAUUGUCAGUGCCAUUUUUUACUAUCAAAUAGAGCAGUUUCCAUGUUAUAACAGUUCCAACAUAAGUUUUUACCUGCACAAUAGCUAGUGAAGACACGUUACCUUCCUAAAUUGCCGCUAAUUUUGAGCAACUCUCCGCACAUAUUAUGAGGACCAUCAGAUCUGUCUCUGCAACUGUAAAAAUGUAUCAUAGAAAAUCAGAAUAUGUGUGAUCCGUAGGGCCAGUGGUUUCAUUAAGAAUCUAUAGUCAUAGUAGAUGCUACCUGCAGCCUGCAAAUUUGAGGGCCAGUGGCCCCUUCUCACUCUGACAUGUACCACAUCCUUCAGUUUCUCUUCUUCCUUAUCACUGCUUUUCGAACUUUUGCCCCUUCCACAGCUCUGUUAACAGUAAAUCAAAGAUAAGACGAAAAAUUCAAUUCAUUCAUAAACAAAGCAAUUAAGCUAGCAAAGAGAAGAGCAUGCAAUUUUUCAUAACUAAUGCAAGAUUCUACACUUAAUUUACGAUACAUUUUUUCACUUGCUUCCGCUUUCAGAAGCCUGAGGAGUUGAGUUAUCAGAACAGAUUUCAGAUUCUUGCAUGACAUUUUUAUAAUCUUUCGAAAAAUGUGGAAAAUUAUCUGCCAAGUUCCCAGGGUAUUCAAGCACUUAUGUAAUGAAAUUGUCGGAAGGAAAGCCUGCCCAGCUAGUAAAAUUAGAGUUUGAGGUGUGCAUGACACUUGGAUUUAAUUGCAUGAGUUGAUUCAUGAUGAGGUCCACAUUUGGAUCAAACUCAAGCAAAGAAAAGUGGUGAGUUAAAGGUCUGCAUAUUUGAUGUGUAUUGAGCCAUGAAAUUUUAUGUUUUUGAGAGGGUAAAAAAAGAGACAAAGCGGGCAAAUAUGUUUUGGUGCUUAUAAACUGUGGGAAUGCUAUAUAUCUAGAUAGUUCUAACAAUAAGCUAUAUCAUGGGUGUACAAAUCAAAAUCUGUGAUACAUUACAUUAAUUGUGUAGUAAACCAUUGAUAUUAAGGCUGCCAAAACAAAGAAAGAUAUAUUUGAAUGCUUAGAAACUAUAAUCCGCAGUCAUGUAAUGCAAGUCGGGAUAUAAAUUCAUCUCAUACCAGCACCACACUUCACUGUAAAGAAUCCACUUUUUGUUCAUAAUCCAAGCAGAAAAAUUCUUCCAAACAGAACCCCUGUCAAUUCUUUGUUUCUCCUGAAUCAUGCACCCCAACAAUAUUAACUAAUUUAACUCAUUAACUUAUAUAUGCUAGAGCAUGCUACAUUCGAAUACGGAGACUGGAUUUUCUACCUGUAUAGUUAUGUCUUGUACACUUCAGCAAAGUCGACUCCAUUUAUUGCUUCAAGCAAUUCUGAAGUUAUAUCCAACAUCCAAGCUGCUGGAUUCUGACCAUCUUUUAUUCAAACAAAUUGGUAAGUCCAAAAUCUAAUACUUGUGGAUUAGAUAUGUCGUCCUUCAUGUAUUUGCUAACGCUGUUUUAUCGGCGACUAUUAGUGUUGGUCAUAUAAGUUUUUGUUGAGAUCCAGUUCAUCUCACGGGCGCUCAUCUUUGGGGCAAUUAAUGCCUUCGUGUCCAUAUUAAAUUGUUAGAAUAUUGAAGGUGAUGUAGAAUCGAACUUGAGACCUCUGCCAAACAAACUCUGAUAUCAUAUUGAGAUGAGUCAUCGGCUCAUCGCUAUAUCAUAUGAAUAUUUACGCUUGACAAUAUAAUAUGAGAAAUGGUCCAAUACUCGAUUAUACUGGAAGGUAAAAAUUAGAAUGCCAGUUAAUUUCCUCCCCUAUCCUCUUCAAAUGCAGAGCAUGAUUCUUCUUCACAAGAGUCUCUGGAAUGAAGGUCGUUUAGAAAAUUAGAUUUAUCAAGGGCAAAAAAGUUGGAUUCUGGAAUACCAAUUUCAUAUACUAGUCAAAAGGUAUGCUCGAUUAUUUUGUAGAACUAGCUUUUAGCCGUGUCUAUAAUGAAGGUUUUCUCGACCUGAUUGCAGGAGAUACCAAAGAUGACUCCGGGAGAUUAACAUGCUCUCUUCUAGUGAUUUACCGUAUUCUAGAACUACCCUAACAAAUAUGGAGAAUAAUGUCGAUAGUUUAACGGAAGUUGGUAGUAUAUGGUUCUAUGCAGGAUAAAGAAAUUUUUGUUUGGUUAAAGCACGUGCGAUUUGCAAAUAUACUGCUUAAUUAUUACUAGUAUUGAGUAAAAAGCGGGAAUCGGACUUAAUCGGUGAAGUCCCAGAUAAGGAUUAAUCGGAGAUUAAUUGCAUUGAUCGGUGAUUAAUAGGGGAUUAAUUAGGAUAAUCGAAUAUUUAAUCAGUUCGACGAGCUACGGAACAGAGAUUAAUCGGUGAUUAAUCGUGAUUAAUCACCGACUUUUAGAAUAGAGAUAUUAAGUCUAAGUAUUUAUUAUAAUCAUUAAACAUGAACUAGUUUUAUUAUUGGGGUGGAGGGAGUUUCAAGUCUAAACUAAUUUCUUAUUCAAGGAGUGGUUAGAAUCUAGACGUUGGUUCAGUGUCAUUAAUUUCAAGAAAAAAAUCUUAAAUAUUAAUGUCCCAACAAUAUCCUCAUUUAUUGUUACUAUUUUUAAUUCACUAGAUAAGUAGAUCAUGCCGCCUAUAUCCUCUUUAUCUUGUUAAUAUUAUACGAUCAAGUAUUUUGAGAUCAUAAAUGUUAUUUUAUAUAAUGUUUUAUUUCUAAAACGUUAUAUUAUAUUAUUUUUUAUAGUGAUUUUCAAUUUAAACACAAACGCUGAAUUAUCCAAUAUUAAUAGAUAGUAUUUUAGGUCAUUUCCUUCAAUUCUCUUAUUUUAUACAUUCAUUUUUUUACGUAUAUACCACAAAAGUAGAUAAACAUAUGCAUAAUUAUAUUUUGCAUUACAAAGUCUUCAUGAAAAAAAUACUAAUUACAUUCUUCAUGGAGGUGAAUUAAACUGAAAGAAGUGUAUAUCUUAUUUUAUCUUUUUCAAAUAAUAAUUUAUUUUUGAAAAAAAGUAUAAAGUAACCUUUGAGAAAAGGUCCCAAACAACAUAAAAACACAUAAAUAAUGUCCAAAUAAUAAAAUCAGGAAAAUAACCCCAAAUACUAUUUGAUAACGCUGAACAAUUUAACGUUUUUAAUUUUGAAAGAAAACGUUAAAUCAUAUAAUUUUUUGUUCUUUUAACUCAACAAAAUAUUACGCGUUCUGUUUUCUUAACCUCAACAAAAGGUUAUAUCGUUUAGCGUUGUGAUGUUUUAUAUCUAACAAACAUUAGACGAUAUAGUAUUUUUGAUCAAUAUAUAAUAUGCUAAACAAUAUAUACUUAACAAAUAAUAUUGAUGAUAUUUUUUUGGAUCAUGAUAUUUUUGAAUUUUAUAAUUUUGGUGAUAUUUUUUUGAAUAAUGAUAUUCUUGAUUUUAAUAAUUGAUAUUAUUAUAACGGGGAGGACUCCUCCCGGACCCUGCUAACUUGAUCGCGAAAAUUAGCAAAACAACAUAAUUACAAAAACGACAUAAGAAGCCUUGACUGAGUCAACACCCCCACAGCGCCUCCGGUGGCCACUCCGAAAAAACACACACAAUACAGUGCAAAAAUUAGACGGAAAAAACUCGUAUCCAUGCGGGAAGAAACCAAAUCUAUCGAUUACGCCAUGGAAGCGGCGUCCGGUCCUCACUUUUCUGGCCUCCGUCUCGAUGUUCUCCGAUCAUCUCCCUCUUCUUCGCCUCGUUCCAAUCCAAUUCAAGCCAUUUCUUCUUCCACUACUUCCUUGCCUACUUCACAGCCCUUCAUUAUUGGUAAUUCAUUCAACUCUCUCUCUCUCUCCCUGUCCCCUCCCCCUCCCACUCACUCUCUCUCACACACACAUACACAAUUACGCUUUAUGUUUAAUUUUAUGAGAUUCUCUGUAAUUGCAUUGAAUAAUUAGUUUUUUUUAUUGUGUUUGUUUGAGCAGGAGUUUCUGGUGGUACGGCUUCCGGCAAAACAACUGUGUGUGAUAUGAUUAUCCAACAGCUACAUGAUCAUCGAGUCGUGCUCGUUAAUCAGGUUUGAUUUCUUAAUUAACAGUGAUUUUUUCCUCAUUAUUCUAUUCUAUGUUUAUUUUUGCAAAUGUAAGUUAGCAAGGAGGAGUCAAAUAUGAUGUAGUCAAAGAAAUAUGUGGUGUAAUGUAUUAAGUUUCUAAUACAGUAUGUUAAAGUUUAGUAUUAAUUGACUACUCAUGUGUUAUCUCCUAUAUUUUUAAUUAAUAUUUGCAGAUGUGAAAACUCGAAUGUUGUUUAAUUGAAUGUUUCUUUGACAAUGAUGUAAUUUUGGUACUGUAGGACUCUUUUUACCGUGGCUUGACACCAGAAGAAUCAAAACGUGUGCACGAGUAUAAUUUUGAUCAUCCAGGUAAUUUUAUUACAGGAAAUUUUGUUGUUAAGUAUAUUAAGUUUGUGGUAAUUUUAAACUGGCACAAAUUGUGCCUUGAUCAGGAAACUUUUUUAUGUGCAUUAAUGAAGUUUAAAUGUCUGUGUAGAUGCAUUUGACACAGAGCAGCUUUUAGAGUGUGUUGAGAAGCUCAAACUUGGACAGUCUGUACAUGUUCCGAUAUAUGACUUUAAGAUACAUCGCAAGUCUGAAGAUUCUUUCCGGCAGGUAUGACUCUGCACAUGUGCUCUUGCAACUUGCAAUUAAGCCAUUCAUUGGCUGACCAACUCAGAUCAAGUUACAUCUUAUGUCCAUGAAGUAACAUGUUUUGGAUGUUUUCCUUGUUCCUGCUCAUGAAGCUCCUGAAUAUAUAAUUUCGCGUGUUGUGGACUUGUGGUAACAGCUCAUGAGGAUUUACUGUCUGCAAUUGUUAUUUAUGUAUUUCAUUUGCUUUGGGAACUUUCAUCUUGCUAAGUAGACGAUUAUGUAUAAACCACGUAAACUACCUAAGUAAGACACAAUGUACUCGUAUAUGUCAUCUUUAUUUCUGGAAGAUGAGACUUUUUUAAGUAAUUUACAACAAACCAAUAUCAAAUCUUAUAUAAUAAUUUUUUUGCAUGAAGGAACUAAAUUGUAAACCAUCUAACUUGCGUGAAAGCCUGCCAAUUACAUGUUUUCUACCUUUUUGGAUAUAUAUGAUCGAUGAAGUUAUUUUUUUGUAUUCUAAAUUGAUAUAUCAGUAUGCUUAUCUCUUCUCUUUUCUGAAUAGAUAAUGUGCACUUGUUCAGGUAAAUGUGUCAGAUGUAAUUAUAUUGGAAGGGAUAUUGGUAUUCCAUGACCAGCGUGUUCGUAACUUGAUGAAUAUGAAGAUUUUUGUUGACACAGGUUAGCGGUCAAAUUUUCCCUUUUGGUGGUUUUACAGCUUCUACAUCUCAUCAUUUUAGUUGCUUUUAUUCGUUAUUUCCGGAUCUUUUCGUUGCAUUCACUUACAACAAGUAACAACCACCAUUGUUUGGUGCUGCACUUGCAUUUUUUAUUUGCGUGGUUAUAUUUCUGCAUUUUCUUAAGCAAUAUCCUUCAAUUAUUUAGUUUGGUUUUCUUUUGAAAUAAAUGGGGUGGACGGUAGACCAAGAUUUGCUUUAAAGUUUCUAUCUCUUUUCCAAUCUGCAUAAUUUAUUUAAGUUGUUUUUCAGAGGGAAAAUGUAGAUGCAAAGGGAUGCAGCCUGAUUUGUGGACCUUUCAUUGUGAAAUGUAAAUCUUAGUUAUUGAGAUAAGAUCUCAUUUCUACAUGGUUACCAUGUAGAACGUACUUAUAUUAAGUGCCCUGAUUUGUUAAGUAUAGUAACAUUUUGCAUCUUUAAUAAUAUAAACCGGUUUUUUAAGUAUUGUCAUAUACAUAUGUGUGUGUGUGUGUGUGUGUGUGUGUGUAUUUUGCAUAUCUCAACUGAAAGUUGUUGAAAGAGGGAAAUACAGGCAUGGCCGUGGAGGGAGGGUCCAUCAGAUUUUGUCUUACCCCAUGUACUUUUAUGAAUGGCUUGAACUACCACAAGAAAUAGAAUAAUAUCAUAUUCUCUUUUUUCGCACGAAUAGAAAAGAGUGCGACAUUAUAGUGGGGUUAAUUUAAGUUCCUUUCAGUUGUAACUUCAUUGACAGUGGGGCAUGCAAUUUUUUUUAGGGGCGGGGUUAUGUUCAUUUGCCUUGAUGGAUAAUCUUUUUUGUAUCUUGUUAUUCUUCUUAAUUUAUUUUAGGUUCUGUCUUCCAUAUUAGCCUAGGAUGAGUUUCACAUGCAUCAAGUGAAAGUGCAAAUAUAUACAAAAGUAAUGCAACUCUGGACAGCUUUAGACUAUGUUCAUGCAUAUAACCUAUAUAAAUUGAAUAUAUACCCUUCUUUCUGUCUACUGCUCCACCCUUGCAUACCCACAACAUUGGUGAAGAAUGAUUUUCUGUGAUUACCACAAGAUAUACAUACAUACAUAUCCGAGGUAAGUAGCCAAUAAAUUUAGUAUAUUUGUAUAUACGGUAAUAUAUUGUUUGAUUUUGUUUCCUCUUUACUCCCAUGGAUGAUAAUACACUUGUUUUAUUGUAUUGCCUCAGUUAUGUAUGUUGAGGUAAUUUCAGGAACAUUAUUCUCUAUUUAUAAUAGUUUUAAUUAUUAUUCAAUAUACUUAUACUAUUAUAUGUGGACAUUAUUGCCAUUCAGCAAUUGUUACCAUAAAUCAGUAGCUAUGUUCCCAAAUGAUCGUUUUGUCUACUUUUUGUGCAACAUCCAGAUGCUGAUGUGAGGCUUGCUCGUAGAAUACGGCGGGACACUGUUGAGAGGGGUAGGGAUGUUAACUCUGUUCUUGAACAGGCAAGACUUACUUCGUAUAGUUAGCUUACUAUAUCUUUUGUUAAUUUUAUUACUUUUGUAUUGUACUUUUAACAUUUUUGGUUGCUUUGUAUUCACUUAUUGUCUAGUAUGCUAUACCUUGUGUUAGUACAAGCAAUACUGGUUUUAAGAAGUCCAAUUUCAUGUCAUUCUUGUUUAUUGAGCAGUAUGCAAAAUUUGUGAAGCCUGCUUUUGAUGAUUUUAUUCUGCCAUCAAAAAAGUACGCUGAUGUAAUUAUUCCCCGUGGAGGUGAUAACCAUGUUGCGAUUGAUUUGAUUGUUCAACAUAUCCACACAAAGCUUGGACAGCAUGAACUGUGCAAAAUUUAUCCCAAUGUAUAUGUUAUUCAGUCAACAUUCCAGGUAUGCUCUAUUGUCUUCUCUAUUUUUGUACUCAUGUUUUUUCUUUGGUUUAUACAGGCCUUGCGGCCAGUUUCAUAACAAUUGAUGCACUAUUUUAUUAUCGCUGUUAAUCUUAUAGAUGAGCCUGAACUCUUGACUUCUGUUUGCAUGAAUGAUAAUCGAUAAGACCAACUUAAAAUGAUAAGGCAUAGAUAAAAAGAACUAACACUCGGUACAAUGUUACUGACAUGUAUUUUACUUGAUGCCUGCCCCUCUUACAGAUUAACUGGAAGUAGAACAAGGGUGCCACGUAAAUAUGUAAUGCUAGGGUUUUUAUUUAGGCACUGAAGUAACCAAGUCUUCCAGCCUAAACAAUGAGCUCCCUGUACUAUUAGUCCUUGUUGAUAUUUCACAACUGUCUUGAAUUAAAUUUUGCCCAUUAUUAAUGUGAUAUUCACCCAAACCCACACUCACUCAUGACCCACCGACAGUUGACAGACACACAUGUGCGCAUGUCUGGUGUGUAUAUAUGUUAUAUUAGUUAAUUGAGUUUUUCUUCACUCUAUCCUCUUAAAUUAUAUAUGUUUUAGUAAUUGAUUUUGUGAUACAGAUUAGAGGCAUGCAUACCCUGAUUCGGGAUCAGGAGAUAUCAACCACUGAUUUUGUAUUCUACUCAGAUCGGCUUAUACGCCUGGUACUUGAUUUUUUAUUUUUUUCAAAAUGGAAAUGCAUUAAUUGGACUUCUCCGCACUUGAAAUAUCUAGGUCUGUAUGUUAGACUCACAUUACCUCAUUUUUCAGGUUGUGGAGCAUGGCCUUGGUCACUUACCCUUUACCGAGAAACAAGUGGUCACUCCCACUGGUCAGUGACUGAAUUUUAUCUCAACCUUAUGCCUCUUGAUCGCGGCCCAACCGUCUUAUAUGUGUCUCUGUUUUUUGUUAAACAAUAAUACAAGUCUCGGGUUCUUCUGCUAGGCCUCUAGAAGUUCAAAUAUAUAGAAUUUACAUUUUGCUUAAUGCUUGUAUUGAGAGUGUCAAAACUUUUGAAUCUCUCGAUUUUCUAAGUCUUGUAUCACAUUCAUGAUUGACUGACAAGGACAAUGCCUGUCUGUAAGAUCUGAGUCGCAUAGGUUUUCUUUUUUGCUGUUUUGUGAUGCUUAUUUAGAAGACGAACAGCAUGCAAUAUUCAAUUGUAUUAAAGAAAUAAAUGCUACACCUAAGCACAGGUGCAUGUAUGCUUUAACAGACACCAGGUGAUCUGGCCUGAAAAAGAUUUAUGGGGGUGCUCUCUAUUCCGUUCUUUUUUAGAAAAAAUAUCUAUCUUGUCUGCGGGAUAUAUCUAAAAUUAAAUUUGUAGUCUGUUUAUGCUACCAUUGUUUUUGUUUCUGUACUUGUUCUAAUUUGGGAAACAAUUGUAAUUUGAUACCAUUUCCAUCAUGUGGUUAUAGACUUAUAGUAUUGGGCUGUGUAUUUUUUAAUCUUAAUAGGGCAGAUUUCUAUGCCUACAAUUGACGUAGUGCCAAAUUUUUUUCUAAGCACUUCUAUUUGUGGUUAUUAUAGGAUGUGAGAUGUUAGUCGCUUCUUUUGUUGUACACUUGUACUUUUAUGUUGUUCACUUCACAUUGGCUAUGUUGACAAAUACAUUUAAUUCAAUUGCAGGCUCAGUAUAUACUGGAGUUGAUUUUUGCAAAAAAUUAUGCGGAGUCUCGAUUGUUAGAAGGUUUGCUUUGAGUUUAUAAUUCUUGAGAAAAGAUAUUCUGUUUGAAAUUCUGAAAGUUACUCAUGCAAUAAAGGACACUUAUAUAUCAUCAAAUAACGGCCAUGGGCCAUCGAAUUAUCAGUGAAUGCAUGAACGUUUGACAUUGUUUAGCCUAGCUACCAGUGGUUUAGUCCCUUGUGACAGUUGUCACUGUUUUACUAGAAACCUUUUUUUUUAUAUAUAAAUAAAUGUUACAUCAAGAAGAUGCAUAAGUUAUGCACAUACACUUUAAUCCACAUCAUUAUUGCCAUGCUUAUUGAAUCAUAGUCUUUCCUUGAUUAGAAUUUAGAAGCAUUUAUAAUUUUGAAUAUGUUUUUUUAUUUUUUGUUUAUUAGUUAUAAUUUUAAAUAUAUCAAUUAUUAGGCUAUCUUGUUUGAUCAGGUUAAUCCUCUAAUUGCUUAUAUAUACAGUGGUGAAAGCAUGGAGAAUGCUGUGCGUGCUUGUUGCAAAGGAAUAAAGAUUGGGAAAAUUCUAAUCCAUCGUGAUGGUGAUAACGGGAAACAGGUAAUUAUACAUUAGUUAUAUUGUGUAAAACUUUUUACUGUGGAUUUUAAUGCUCUGUGGAGUGUAUAGAUAAUAACAGUAUGUAUUUGACAGCUUAUAUAUGAAAAACUUCCAAAAGAUAUUUCAGAACGACAUGUCCUGCUCUUGGAUCCAGUUCUUGCUACCGGUAAUAUUGUUGGACUCAUCUUAUAAAAAAACAGUUAUUUUAUUUUAUCUUUUGCUUUUAACUAAGAAAGCAUGUGUUGCUGCAUCCCUAUUUUUUUUCUCCCUAUAUAUCUUACCUAAUCAUUUGUAAAUGAACAAGUUUAAUCUCUCCGUGAAGGCAAUUCGGCUAACCAGGCAAUUGAACUACUCAUACAGAAAGGAGUUCCAGAGUCCCACAUUAUAUUUCUUAACCUCAUUUCGGUAAGUGUUAAAAGCUGUUCAUAGAUAUGAAUGUGUCUAAAAAUGCCCAUGAAAACUGAUUCCUCUUGCUUUGGAAUUAUACAGGCCCCAGAAGGAAUACAUUGUGUCAGCAAACGGUUUCCAGCUCUUAAAAUUGUCACUUCAGAGAUUGAUGUAGCAUUGAAUGAAGAGUUUCGUGUGAUACCAGGCAUGGGAGAGUUCGGAGAUCGUUACUUCGGUACUGAUGAUUGAUUUAUCAAAAGAGUGACUAACAUUGAUGGUCUUGGUUUUAAUGUUUGGAGAAAGUUACGAACGGAGAUCAACUCAUGCACAUAUGUGAUAUUGUGUUCUUGUGUUCGAUUAUAACUUAUUUUGGAGUAAUGAGCUCCAGAUAUGCUUAUUGUUUGAUUUUCAUUGCUCCAUUUUCAGUGCAUGACCAAUUGGCGCAUUGAUACAUUUUCAACCAAUUGAUGCACUGAUCCAUUUUCAAGGAAGCUUAACAAAAGUUUGAGCAGAUUUUGGCUUGUAUCUCAGGACUCAGGCAGUAAGGCUGGUUGGGGAGUCCGACCUUGUGCAUAUUUAUAUGCAGUAAAAAUGGAAAUUCAAUACAUCUAUGAGGUGACUAAAUGUGGUGAUUGUGAAAUUUAUUAGAAAACAAUUAAACCUGUUUUUUUAAGAAAGUAAAAUUGUUUCCAAAGCAAUUUGAAGCCGGUUAAGAUAUUUAUAUAAUUCAUAUUUUGACAAGUUCGUUACUUUUUUAUUGGGAAAAUAGAUUUUUUUGCCACUCAACUUAUUGUGUUCUUAGAAACUUACCGCUCAAUUAUUUUUUUUUCUUUUUAUUCAUUAAUGUUAGGUUUGAAUUUUUUUUUUAACCACCAACUUAGGCUCGAAUUUGAUUACUACUAUUAUAAUAAUAUAAUAAAUCAGUUCAAUAUGAUAAUAAAUAGCAUAUUAUUAAUAUUUUAUAUUGUUAUAAAUAGAAUAAAUCAGUUGAAUAUGGUAAUAAAUGAUGUGUAAUCUUUCGAUAGAUUUUUUACAAAUCUGCAGAGGUUCGACAAAUUAGCCAUGCAUAGGAGGUUGACUAUAAUUAUAAAUAAGAGCUUAGUAUGGUUGGAGCGCGCUUUUAGAAGACGUGGCUAUAAAUUUUAUUUUUGAGAAACCAACUGAGCUUUUGGCUAAGGGUUUCUCAUGGUUGGAGAUAUUCUCACGCACCCAUUGAAAAAAUACUGCAUUACCGAGUUUUUACAUAAAGAAAGAGAAUUUAGAAAAAAAAUCAAUUUAUAUUUACGUGAAAUCAAGGAAAAAUAAUACUACACCCUUAGACUUUGUUAACGUUAACCGUACUCUCAAAUGACGGAUUGUUAAAAGGGUGCAAAACGAAGCGUGAAUUAAAUAAUAGAAUAUGUGUUGUCCAGAAUUAUUUUUUACGACCAAUUUAAAAAAGCGCUCGAAGUUUUGAGUUGACUUUAGUCUUAAAAAACAAUGACCUGACAUGUUGUGUACCUACCAUCUUAGAUGACAGCUUGGCAUGUCGAUUCAUGUCAUGCGGCGGUCCAUGUACCGGGAGGUAGUUUGAUCCCCAUGAGCCAUUUAUAAUGUCAUUUUCACCUGCAUAUAUGUCAAUUUUCCGGUGAUUGAAAAAUACCUACAAAAUAUAUCUCAUGUAUGAGCUGUAGGAAAACCCCUUCUUUUUAAUUGUGAUAGUAGGUGGUAGAUAGGUACUGGCCAUUCUAUGAUCACAUAGUUUAGUCACCAGCAGAGAGUAGUUUAGCCACUUGCCAACAUCUCCAGAUCAACCUGCAGGUUACAUGUAUAUUUUAUUCUAAUUGCCAGAACGUCAUGAACCAUGAGUGCCUAGAAAUGUUAAAUGGUUUGUCAUCAACCUUAAUCUUCAUAAUAUAAAACGCAAUUAGAUCUGAUGGCUAAAGGGUAUUCAUUUUAGCUACGGAGAAGAAAUUACUGCUAGUGAUCUCAGCACACUGAACAUAUUCAAGCAGUUCUACGGUCUGCAACUUCGCAGCUUCUUCUCAACGGUACGAUUCUUUCCAACUAUUCUCAAACUUGUAUAUAAAUAUCUUAACUUCACUUAUAUAUAGCGACAAGUGCUUGGUUUUGUUUGGCUUAUUCAUGUAUAUAUACCGGUCGCUCAGUCGAUUCUCAGUAGAGUUGUUUCAGAUACCAACUAAAGAAAUAAGCUACAUUACAUAUAUUUAAACUUACAAAUUAAUGAGUGAUUGUGAUUUAAGAAAGCUUUUUCCGCAAUUUCUAUAUAUAUCUUUUAUAUUUUUAGACUAAUUAUAUAAUUAUAUCUGUAUGUAUUAUUGUAAAUUAAACUAAAUUUAUGUCUAUAUAUAUAUUACUCCCUCCGUUCUCUUAUAUAUGUUUUGGACGGGGCUUCACACAUAUUUUAAAAAUUCUUAUAAAAUAUAGUUUUUCAGUCAAAACUUUUUUAGAAGUAAGUUCCAUAACUACAUUAUAUAUGUAAGUCUUUUCUUUUUGAAGAAAUUAUAUAUAUAAGUUUUAAAAUAAGUGUAAAGUAAUAAAAAAUUGUAUAUAACUGAGUGGAAGGAGCCGUAUAACAUUUCGAAAUGUUCGUUUGUUGGAGUUCAAGAUGAUCAUCACCAGAAUUUAAGGAUGUAAAGUUUAAACUACUGAAUUCUAAAGUACAAUAUCUUUUUUGGGAACUUUCUUAUGUAGAUAUAUAGUCACAUGCACCAUGGGCGAACACGAAGAGUUAACCAAAGAAAUGCUGGACGGAGAACUCUACGAGGCACAUGUCAGCCAUCCCGGACACAAACUACGUUUUUACUCAAAAGCCCCCGACCCUAAUUACGAGUGCUAUGGCUGUAAGCUACCAGGAGACACCAAUUCAUAUCUCAGGUGUCCAUACGAAAACUGUUCCUUCUAUCUUCACCGAGUGUGUUAUAAAUUCAAACCCUCGCACCCCCCUGCAUGGCACAAGUUCUUCCCCCACUGCGAGUUCUUAUUGUAUGAUGGUAUAACCGCUGAGGUUUCUGACCACAGCGGAGAUUUCUCGUAUUGUGAUGCAUGCGGAGAAGACAUAAGAGGGUUUAGGUAUCGGUGCAGGCCCGAUGAUGACUCUCAUCCGCAGGGGAAUCAUGAUGUGCAUCCCACUUGUUUUCAUCGAAAAGACGAUAUAACGAUGAAUUCUGGGGUCCGGUUAGAACUCAAAGACAAGGUGAAGUCCAGGUGUUUGUUGUGCAAGAAGAGGUAUCCUGCUGAGGAAUGCGUAGGCUUCACGGGAUGGAAAUGGGUUUCCGAGGAUAGGGAGUACUGGGGUUUUCCUUAUUGUUUUACUGGUACCAAGAUGUGCUUUCAUCUCAAAUGCCUGAAUGAAGAAUUGAGGAAGCAAAUGAAGUAAUGGCAUAAUAUUAGGAAAUAUUAAUGUGGCCAGACUGUCAAUAUUCGUUUACCUUGUUAAUUUGUGUACAAGUGGUCUCUCUCUCUUUUCUUUUACAAGUUGUGUACCGGUAAUCUGUUGCUCAAACCUACAUGUGAAGUAAAUUGGCCGGAUCACCAGUUCUCCGUUUGUUGGAAAAUGAUAGGUACCUCAAAUUAUUUUCUCAAAAAUGUUUUUAAACAAGUGAUGUAUCAAUUUAAGAUGAUUAAUUUGGUGAUUAGGUUGAUGUAGCUGCAGGAUCCAUGUGGCUGAUACCUGAUCAGACGUGAAAUGUGGAAAAAAAAUUUGGAUACCUAACAUUUUUCAUUACUCUGUUUGCUUAGAAACGUUGAUGUUCCCCUUAUUUCGACACACGGUUCUAGUCACCUCAAUCACCUCUUCCAUGAUCAUGUACAUAGAACUACUUUUAUGUUAUGUUUGGUUGUGGUGAAUGGAAUGAAAUGAGUAAAAAUAAAAUAAAUAAUAAGAUGCAGGAGGGAAGACUAUGGAAAAAAAUGAGUGAGUACAAAUUUUGUAUGAUAAGAUUUGGUUAUAAAAUAAGUAUUAUAGAGAAUGGAGCACUCCUUCACAAAAUGGAGGGUUUGAACUCUAGUUAAGGAUGAUAAGAAUGGAAUAGUGGAAGGAAUAAAAUUAUUAUACAUUCAACUAAAUUAGAGUUCAAAUUUCAUCCAUUCCCUCCAUUUUCAUUCACUCCAACCAAACACAACACUAGAGUCUGUAGUUGGAAACUUUUUUAUAUAUUCAGGGGAGCAAACCUAUACUUCGUCCUUUCCGCCAACUUUAAUUUGGUUAUGUUAAAGAGUUGUUAGUAGCUUAAAAAAUCAUAUUUUUGCUUUCAAAUUCAUGACUACGCUAUUUCUUUAAGAUUAACGAGUUUAUUUAACAGAAUACCUGGUAAAAUGGUAGGUUGAUUUUGUCUUGACUCUUCACCAAGAAUGGUAGGUUGAUUUUGGAAUCUUGGGCGGUGAACCUCGCGAGCUUUUGAUGAAUGCGUGUAUUUUAUGGCAAGAGGAAUGAUUGAAUUAACCAAAAUUCGGUUGAUAAACUGUCAGAUUGUUAUAAAUACUAUAUUUAUGUGGAUGUCCUUUGGCUUUUCAGUAGCUAGAUUUUUGACUUUUCACUAGCUAGACCUUUGAGUUUACUUGUCAUAGACACUUGUAAUCUUAUAUAAAGGCCAUUUGUAUUAGCCAUAUGACAAUACAAUGAAAUCUACUCCUUUCUCUCUUAUCUAGCUCUCUCAAUUAUCUUUCUACAUAUAUUAUUUCAUAACAUCUUAUCAGCACGAUUCGCUUUGCACAUUGUUUUUGCCAUGAGGAGUGAAUUGUUCUUCCAAUAUUAAAGGUCUCUCAAAGACAUUUUUGAAGUAAGGAAUCAUGAACUCAAAUGAUUUGAUCAUUUAAGAUUUUAAGGUAAGUCUCCUUUCACCAUUCUUUACAUUUUAUGAUACUAUACUAUAUGUUUGAGAGAUUUUGGAUAUUUUGGAAUAGCCCCUUAAUUUUCUAAAACUUAAACUAGUUAAUAUUUUUGAUGUGAUACAUGUAAGUUGUGAAUUCAUGAUGUGCAUAAACUGAAUCAUUUUAUAUGUUUACAUGUUUUAGAGUUUGCUUUUGGAAUAGAUCGAUUUUGGAUAUGUUGAUGUUUAUAGUUUUUGGAGUUAGUAUAGAUCGAUAUGCAUAUGCUUUAGUCUCUUAUGCAUUUAAACACAUUAUUUGGAUAUUUUUGGAUUUAAAUAAAUUGUUUUGAAUACUUACUUUUGGAUUUGCGUAAAUUAAUUUGGACUAUUUUGGAGCUUUUUGAAAUUGGAUGAAAUAUUUUGGAUCUCUAUUCUCGGCUCUCUUAAAUCUGAAAAUUUGUGAGAAACUUGUUUUAAAUGAAAAUCAUGUUUUUUUAGUCAUAUUAUAUUUCUAGCGAUCAUAUUUUAUAUAUAAUUUUGAUGAUUACCUUUUGUGGAUAACUAUCGAUUUAUAUAUUAUGUCACUCUCAAAUAUGUGUAUAAUUCAUUUAAUAUGUGAUGAUUCUCACUGGCGUUCUCUUUUGCGUACACUACAUUAUUUUAUUUUGAUAAAUAGGAUGUGAGACAAAUUUAUAUUGUGUAUAUGUGAUCAGUUUAUAAAAAAUGAAUACAAAAAAAACAUAAAUUCUUAGUGACUCACUAAUCCAAAUAUUUUACAUCAUUAAUAGAUAAUAUGUUGCUCUAAUCUUUAAAAGGUCAUGAGUCAUAUGUGCCCCUUUCUAUUCUAAAAGGUGAUUUUUCUCAAGUCAUUAUCUAUUUCAUAUGAGUUUAAAUUAGUAGUAAGCUUAAUUAAUGACUUAGCUAAUAUUCUUUGUUAGAGACAAAAGUUUCAUAUCAUUCACACCUAUAUAAAUUAUAUCUGACCUUGUCUCUAGUCUUUGUCUAUGUAUCUCACAUUAAUAUAUGCUACAAAGGUCCUUCAUGUCCAUAUUUAAUCUUUCUAUUUUAAGGACACCCCAAAUUUUGAAUAGUCAAAACUUUAUAUAUUAUGCUUUGAAAGAGAUGGCUUAUGCGCACGUUAUGUCACUUGUAUUAAGUUGUCUUGCUCACUUAUUAAAGUGUAUUACAUCUUAUGCAUGCUUUAAGUACGUGAUAUUUUCGAAAUCUUUAUAUGAUAUCUUGGUAAAUGAUAAAAUCACUAUGUGCCUUUGUGAUAUAAACUUGGGAUUUGUAUAAGUGAUUUUUUCCCCACUUGAGCUAAAUAAUGUUGGUAUUAUCUACAACACCUAUUUAACAUUGUUUUUAAUAGAUUGCGUAUAUGAUUGCAACCAGAAGUUGCACGUAAUAACAACCAGAAGUUGUCUAUAUAAUAAAAUUAGUUUAUUUUUUAUCACACAUUUUUUGAUAUGUUUAAUUUCUGAAGAUGAAGGAUGUCAACAGAGUAUAUAAUAUGUUUAAACACUUGAUUACAUUCCAGAAGAAUGAUAUAUUAGUAUAAUAUUCACUUUAUGAGUUUAUCCAAAAUGAUAUAAUACCCCUGAAGGAUGGUUCUAUAUAAAGAAUAGUAUAAUAUUGGAUAUAAUAGAUUUUAAUUGAAUAAAUAUUAUAUUGUGUCCCGCAGAUACAAUGAUAUGAAUUGAUGUAAUAUUUGGGUUGUUAAAUUCAUGAGUUGAUAUCGUGAUUAAAUGUGGCUUACUAAAUUUGAAUUAUUGAUGAAAAGAUUAUGAAUUGUAACAAAUGAUAUCGUACCAUAAUAUGACAAUAGUAGAAAAUUAGUGGAUAUCAACCAUGAUCGUAGCAAUGGUCCUGACAUUACAAAUACUUUAAGUCAUAUUCUUAUUAUGUGUAUAAGAAAUAUUUCUCUCAAUUGAUAUAAAGAUGACUAGUAUCAAUACUUCAUAUCUAAAAUGAGUCAUCCAAAGGGAAGGUUAUAUAGGAUGCCUCAUUAUAGUUUUUCUAAAUAUAAGACUCGGGAAGACAAAGUAUAAAGCUCCGGAAGAGCAUAUAUCAGGCUCCUGAAGAGCAUGCACAAGGCUCUCGAAGGGCAUAUAUAUUUAUCUACUCUCUCAAGUAAAUUUUACUCCAGAAGAGCAUGUAAUUAUACUCUCCCAAGAAAAUUGAAGAAUGGAAUUUGAUAUGAUUAUCACAUUGAGAUAUCAAGUGCCGUUAAAUAUUGAGUCUAAUUCCUUGCACUGGAAGUAAUUUGGGGAAAGAUUCUCCACUAAUUUAUAAUAAGCAUAAUUGAAAUUGAUUUUGAAGUAAACCAGAAGUUUACUUAUAAGUUUAUAGUUUGGCCUGACUAGCUAUGCCAUCUCAAUAAUAAAGAUGUGAAUAGUAAUUGAUAUUUUAUAUGGACUUUUGUUGAAGAACAUGUAGAUUCUUCUUCUCAGUGAUACAUGUAUUAUUUGCUUAUAAGGCAAAAUUGAUCACCAGCAAAUAUAUAGUUAUGAUUUUUCAUCUUUGAGAAUGAAUAGAUGAAGAUAUGACCUGAGUUAUAAAUAUCACAUUAUUGAAUAGUGAGAUAUGUGAAAAAUAUACGAAGUUUUUACCAACUUGCAUCCUGAAGUAUGCAAGAUUUGUUAUUUGGAAUGUAUGCUUAUAAUGCUGGUGAAUCUCACAAUGAGUAUUAUCUCGUCCAUAAUAAUUGUUGAGUAUUUUGUAUCACAUAUUUAUCGAUUCGCAUCAUAUAAACAAAUUGUUCUUAAUCUCUCCCCAUCAUAAAAAAAUUAUUUGGUCAUCACAGAUUUUCCACCACGUUAGUAAGACCGAUUCAUAUAUUACAUCCGAGUGCAUUUGGAAUCAUCAAUAUAUAUUUGUUAUGACUUGAUUUAAUGAGUUUGUUUUCCCAAAAUCAGGGGGAGAAAAUAAAUAGCCGGUGAAAGUAGAAAUAUAAGAAUGAAUUAUCAUUGCCUCAUCUUGAUCCUCAAAAUAAAGAAUAUGAACCAGAAGUUCAUAAGAUAAUUCAUUUUGAUGACCAAAAAUAGUGACUAUGACACAAACACCGGCUACAUAUGCUCCUAUAAUAUUAAUGUCGCAGAAUAACAACCUCAAGAUACUACUAUGUCUAAAGAACGCCUGAAGCGUGAUAGACAAGUUGGUUCCAUAUAUAUCUUAUACAAGAGGUGAAAAGGAGCAAUAAUUGAUGAUGGCUAGAUUGAGAAAUCAAUAAUUUUUGAAGGAUCUCCGGAAGAGAUUAUAGACAUGACAUUGAAGGAUCUCUGGAAGAGAUUAUAUACAUGAAAAUUUUGAGAAAAUAAAAGUAAUGAAAAAUAUUGAAAUUUAGAUAUAUUAUGUCUUGUCCAAAUGAAAUGGAACCAUAAAUCGAAUCGACGUCGAUGAUAUUUAUAGAACUUGAGGUUAUUGAUAAUGAGGAUCAUGAAGCAGAAUCUGUUAGAAAAUAUUGAUAUAAUUGGCCAAAGAAUAAAGGAUAUAAUUGAGGCAAUUAUAAAGAAAAAUUAUUUGGACCAGUAGUCCUCUCACACCUGAAGUUGUGAAAAUAGUGCGCCCUACGAAUCAUUAUCUCUUAAAAAUAGAGAAAUAUUUGAAACUGCAGUUAACACACCUAAAGGUGUCAAGGCAGUGGGAUAUGAAUGAUCAUUUAUGUGAAAACAAAUGAAGUUUCAGAAAUUAUGAAUGUAAAACUCAGAUAAUUGUAUGAUGACCUUGUAUUGGUCAUGAAGAGAAAAAAGUAUCUUGUGGUGGAUACGAUUAUUUGAUUGCAAACAAUCUCAUUAUAUAUGAUGAUUUAAUUUAAGUCUUAUAUGCCCACUUGACCAUGAUUGUCCUACAAGAAACUUAACUGCCAGAAGCAGUAUAACAAGCUCUCGAGAACAUUACCCUCCUCAGAAUGAAUAAUGCAUUUGGACCAGCAGUCCAACACAAAAUACAUGUUAUCAUUGUACAUCAUAUUAUAGGUGACAACUCAUAAAGUCUCUGGCCAGAGCAAAAUGAAAACUAGAAUGUGUUUCUAGUUGACAUUGAAAUGAGUUGCACCUCAUAAUUAAAAUAGAUCUAUAUUACUUUUAUGAUAAAAUAUUUCGUGAUGUAUAUAUUGAAAGAAAAAUACCUCUCAAUGAGUGAUAUUUUGUUAUAUGUGAAUCCCAGAAGGAUUAUAAAUAUUGUACACUGAACUUUGUGGACAGUUGCAAGAAAGAAAUUCUCGGUCCUGGAGUACUGUACAUAAGUAAAAUAUGUUUUAUUGAACAUGAUUUGACAUAAUUAUAAAUUUAUUAAAAGCUGAUUUUCCGCUUUUGAAUAGUAUUUAUUGCUAAGUAAUUGCUCGCUCAAAAAGCGUAUGAAUCCUGAAAGUUUAUUCAAUAUCCACAAAUAUAUCUCAUAAGGUUUUUAAGUUUAUUUUGCAGGAGCAAAGUCCCCAUUUCAAUGGUGGAUCAAUAUUGAAUAAAUUAUAUUAGAGUUUUUCUUUUGGUAAAAUAAGUUGUUGCAGGAACUUCUUAUCACACUAUUUUGACUUGGGCAAUCUCAGAUGGACAAAGCUGGAAAAACAGUGCAGAAUGACAAGAUUAUGAUAUUUUACAAGGUUGGAAACUCCAUCAACUAUAUAUCUGAAAGCUCCACUGACUGCUUAUGAUGAUAGCUACACAACUCAAUGAAUGCACUUUUAACAUUUAUAUUUGAGAAGUUCUGGAACAAAGGAGCUCAUCAACUCAGAUAUUUAUUUGAUAUAAUCAUGAGGGGGAGCAAAUGCACGCUGCACUCUUUUUCCCUUAUCCAUGGUUUUUCCCACUGGGUUUUCCUGGAAAGGUUUUUAAUGAGGCAGCAUCACGUGCACAUUAUGAAAUAAAUGUUUUUGUUCCUUCUCUUGGUUUUUUUCCCAAAGGGUUUUUCCAAGAAGGCUAUAACAAGACAUUAUUUCAUUUUACGGACAUCCAAGGGGGAGUGUUAUAAAUAAUAUAUUUAUGUGGAUGUCCUUUGGCUUUUCAGUAGCUAGACUUUUGACUUUUCACUAGCUAGACCUUUGAGUUUACUUGUAACAGACACUUGUAAUCUUAUAUAAAGGCCAUUUGUAUUAGCCAUAUGACAAUACAAUGAAAUCCACUCCUUUCUCUCUUAUCUAGCUCUCUCAAUUAUCUUUCUACAUAUAUUAUUUCAUAACACAGAUAAUGUAAUGAAUACUACGUUGGAGUGUUUUUUAUUUUUAACGGUUGAAGUGGUAGAUUUUCAAUUGGAUAGUUCACAAUAUUCAUCGGUCCAAUUAUAUCCAUCGAGAUUAGUUCUUCGUUUAUUCAAAUAAUUACGAUUAUUAGACAUCUAUAAUAUGACAUGAAUAAUAUACAUAUACAUAUAUGCAUGAAUCACUAUUUAAUUUAUAAAAAAUAUAUUUACACCAAAUAAAGAUAAAAACUCAUCAUCUACUUUUACAUAAAUAAUAAAUAUGCAAAAAAUAAUAAUAUCUUGGAGAUUCACACUUUCUCAUAAAUGUACCCAUGAUAAACCUAAAGAGAGAUACAUAUAUACACUACAAGAGAAAUCGCUUUUGCCAAUGGAAAUUGCUAAGGGAAAUUAAUCCGUUGGUAGUUCCCAACAGAUUUGUAACGAUUUGACUAGCCAAUGUUCUGCCAACCAAUUUGCAAUGAAAUACCCACGCUUAUUUACCAACGAGACGUUCCGUUAGGAAAUAUAACCGCGCGAUGGUAUAGUAACAAAAGACCAAGGAAUGGGCAACAGACUAGCAACGAAAAUAUCUGUUGUUAUAUUCGUUGAUAUUCCGUUGGCAAAUACUAACAGUUGCGGUUACUAGUUUUAGAUCCGCUCCAUGAGCAUGUACACGGAUACUAUGCUAGUCUUUUUAGUUGACAUGUGUGUAAUGCUAAGGCCCAAUGGGCUUUAGUUGAUUAAAUUGAUUUGGGUUGUAAAAUGGCCAAUAAUAUAAUGGAUCUAAUUAUGUAUUAAUAUUAAUAUUAAGUAAAAUAUUAAUUAAAAUAAGACUAUUUUUUUAGAAAUUAUUUUGGACGAUCCAACUAUACAAAUAUUCUUGUAACUUGUUAUAGUAAUUAAAAUAAAUUUUUCAAAAAAAAUAUGUCUUUUGUUUGGUGUGUGGGUUUUGUAGUCAAAUGCGGUCAAAUUGCUAAGUCUUUAAUCGAAUACUUACCAAAAACAUGAAACUGUUUUUUUAAAAAUCAUUAUGGAUGAUCCAAUCAUACAGAUGUUCUUGUAACGUGAUAAUAUUGGGAAAAAAAAUUCAAAAAAAAAAAUUAGCCUUUUAUUUGGUGUAUGGAUUUCGAAGUCAAAUGCUGUCGAAUUACUUAGCCUUUAAUGAAGUACUAAUCGAAACAUGAAAUAAUUUUUUUAAAAAUUAUUUUGGACAAUCCAACCGUACGGAUAUUAUUAUAACGUGUUAAUAUAGAUUAAAAUAAAUUUAAAAAAAAUGCCUUUUUUUGUUGUGUGGAUUUUGCAGUCAAAUGCAGCCAAUUUCUUAGCCUUUAAUCGAAUACUUUCCCGAAACAUGAAACUAUUUUCAAAGAAAAAACAUUCUAGAUGAUCCAACCGUACGGAUGUUAUUGUAACGUGAUAAUAUUGAUUAAAAUUUUUUUUAAGAAAAUUGCCUUUUAUUUCGUGUGUGGAUUUUGUAGUCAAAUACGGUCAAAUUACUUGGCUUUUAAUGAAAUACUUACCUGAAACAUGAAAUACUUAUGUGCUAAUUUAUUUUAUUUUAAUAUAAUAUAUAUUACGAAAUCUAAUAUUUUUACAGAUAAAUAUAAAUAAAUUUUUUAUGAUAAUUCUAAGUUAUUAAAAAUAUUAAAAUAAUAAUUAAAGAAGAAAGUAUCACUUUCUUUCUAAGUGAAAAAAAUGCGCGGCAAAAUUCCCCCCAAAACUAAAGUAUUAUUUACUUUUAUCCUCAAAAUAUAAUUCACUCCCUCCUGCUCUGCUCUCACCUCUCUACUCUCACCUCUUCCGUCUCUACUCUAACAUCGCCUCUCUGCGUUUUCACAUCUAAGAUAACGGAAUAAUCAAAAUUGGAUCCGUAGGUUUUCUUCUAAUUAUCACUAAGUUGGACUAUUAGGGCCACGAAUCUAGGGAAAAAUCUCAAAUUGGUCACUGAAGUGAGCCAGUAGUAUCAAAACUUAUAUCAAAUUUAACGGGGUCUCAUUCGUACCACUUUAAUAACGGAUAAUGACAUGUCCGUUAGUUUGACCGGUUGACCAAACAGAAAAAUGAUGUGGCGAACAGAGUAACUAACGGAGCGGCUGAGUGGCUUGUGUCUCAGAUUACAACGGCCAUAGUAGAAAAAAGAUACAAAAAUAAAAUAAAAUAAACAACAAAAACAAAAGCAAUGGAUUCUUCAUUAUUAGUUGCCGAAGGAAGUACUCGCUGUUCACUGAUCAUUAGACUUCUAAUUAAUUGAGAAAUUGAAAAAAUCAUAAAUUUUGUAUUUUUAUUUUAUACUAUUUAUAUUUUAUUAGUAAUUAUAAUAUUUUCUGAUUAUAUAUUUAAAACAAAGUUUUAACUUUAUUUAGCCACUUUUCAAUUUUAUUAAGCAACUACCUUUUUCUAUUUGAUGUUUUGAUUUUCGACGCACAAUUUUAAAUAUUUUGUCAAAAUAAUAAAAUUAUAAUUUAUGACCAAUUUUUUUGUGAAAUGAAAUUUUUAUUACAUAUUUUUGUUUAGAGAAAUAAAAUUUUAAAAUUAAUAUUUUUUAAUCAAAAUGAAAACCUCAAAUAAAAUUAAAUAAUACAUUUAAUUUUUUUUUUAAAUUUUUAAACUAAUAUUUUUCAAAUUUAUUAACUAACAUGUAUUUUUUUUAUUGAAUAAUUUAAGAUACAUAAUUUUAUAAUUAAAUCUAAAUAUUUUAAAUAUUUUUAUAAAUCAAUUAGUUAAUUCAAUACUUACAAAUUUAGAGAUAACUAUAAUUACAUAAUAUCAUAAGAAAAUCUGAGUUUUGGAGAACCAUAAUUAAGGUUGGAAAAUACUAACAAGUGGUAAAUAUAAAUUAAACACAAAUUAGAAUCUUCAGUUAAGAUAGAAUUUCCAUACAUAAUAGUUAUGUGUAUAUUAUAUAAUAUAUGUAAGAUGAAUUAUAUAACAAUCAGAUAAAAAAUUAGAAAACAAAUUCGUCCGAAAAAGGAAUAUGCAGUAGAGGGAUUGUGCGGUGACUGGUGACUGGUGACUUUUUUAUUUCUUUAAUAGUUUAUCCUAUUUGUCUUUUUAUGGCAUGUGACUGUUACAACCCGACUCACAAGCCACGUAAGGCCACUUUGCCAUUCUGUCACUUAUGCUGUUUGUCAUAUCAGCUUUCCGUCAAGUCAAUUAGUCAAACUAACGUUCUUGUCAUUAUCCACUACCAGAGUGGUACGGGUGAGACCCCAUUAAGUUUGAUAAAACUUUCGAUACUACACGCUCACUUCAGUGACUAAUUUGAGAUUUUUCCCCACGAAUCUACUGUGAAUCAAGCGGCGAAAAGCUUGGUCAAAUCCAAGGGUUGAUGAAGAUGAAAAAACUUGCAUCUCUAGUAACGGUAUUUUGUCUAUGUAUACAUCUCUUAAUGUAUAAGGGGGAUAUACUAAAAACCCUAAAACACAGAGAUACAAAAGGGGGGUGCAGUGAUAUCUUUAAUCAGCUGUAUUUUGUAAGUGUGUUCUAAGUGUUUGAUUUAUGUCUGUGUGUUUUAAGUGUUUGAUUUUAUGUCUCUUAAUUUCUUGUGUCUAUUUGUAAAUCGGGAUCAGGUCCCUGGCAUACGGCUGCCAGGGACUGGUUAACCAUCAUCCCACGUCCUGGCCGCUGGAUAUGCAUCCAACGGCAUGGGAAUCCUCGUCCAGCGCUAAAAAAGCGCUGGACAUAUUAAAAUUUUAAUAUGAUCCUGGCCGCUGGAUAUGCAUCCAACAGCCCAGAAUCUGGGUGUUGGUUAAGCACUCCACAGCAGCCGUAUGCUGUGGACCGCUACCCUUGUAAAUCUAUAGUUAUUUCUUUGUCAUUUUACAGCAAAAAGUACAGAGGGGCUGGAUGAUGAGGCUAUUGGUGUUAAAUUUGCUGGAUUUGCUCCGCUCUCUUGUCCAAAGAAACACAAUGGGGCUGCAAGUCUAGAGGAUGAGGGUUAUGAUGGUUUUGCUAGGGUAAAACUUUAUAUGAAUGUCUGUUAUAUACUUAUAUUACUUGACUCUGCAUCUCACCUUCCACACUUUAACUGUCUUAAACUAGUAAUCAGCUAAUGGAAUAAUAUCUGUGACAUACAUAUAUAUGUGGAGUAUGAGAAAGUUGGUUGAAACAGUCACAAGGGCCUCAGAAGUCCCUAUAUACAAGCUUCUUCAAAUAAUGUACCAGGUAAUCAUCAAUCUGUAACUCUUUUAUGUGAACCCACCCAUCUGAUCUGCACUUAUCUAAAACCUUGACCCAAUGAUAGUAGGACCUUUAGAGUUGUAUGUAUAUGUGAAAUUGUCUCAUUAGUUGUUACAUUCACACCCAAACAUUAUUUAAGUAAUGUUGUAUUGAAAUUAAUUUAAAAUGUAAAUUUUUAAAACUCCUGCUAGAUAUGAUGAGCUUUUGUUAAUAACAUGGAAUUUCAGUCUUUUUGUACUGAGAAUUUGAUUUUGAAACCAAUUUUAAGUAUCACUGCAUGAUCUUGAUAGUGGACCUCAGUUUUUUAGCAAAAGUUAUGCUGAUUAUGAACUUCUUCAUUUUGCUAUUACUACAACAUCAACUAAUUGAACAAUGCUAAGAAAUAAAGCUGAUUAAAUUAUAUUAGUUUGUUAAGCCAAUUUGGGAUUUUCAAUGCAUUCUAGGCUUGAUAUCUUGUGCUAAGAGAAAUAAUAUCCUGUCCAAAUGCAAAGUUGAUGAUCUGUUGUAAAAAGGCCAAAGUAAAAACCGGUAAUCUUAAAUUAUGUGACUGCAGACUUUAAGUUUGGCUUUUAGAAUUACUAAGUAUCACUGAUUAUAUGACUUGGAUAAUACUUUGGAAGAAUUUUUUUGUUGGUUUAUGGGAACUAAAGUGCUCGGUGUUUUUAGCAAUAUAUGUAGAGGUGGUCUGUUCUCUAUGUUGACGAGAUUUUCAUAUGGCAUAUUAAUGUCUGUAUCUAUAUAAGUAACUUUUCUUUUAUUUUUCUUUGGUAUUUAGAGUUCCAGAAGUAAAUCUUACGUUGUUCAAGACUUCAAUCACCGACGCAAUCAAGACAAGGCCCUUCACAAUCUAGACAGAGCAUGCCCACUCCAUCACGACAACUCAGUACUCAAUCACGCCAACACACACCUGAAGCUUAGUCACGACAACACACAACUGAUGUCCAAUCAAAUCCAAACUCGCUUAAUGUAUUGUCUAUUGUUGGUAAUGAUAGUGUAUGUUGGAAUAUUGGCUCCACAAGUGGGGAUGGUAGAAUACGGGUAGAAGUUAUUAAUCGAGUGUAAGUUAAUUCUUAUAUAAAAAUAUCCAAGGAAAUUUUUUUUGUUUUAACAGUUCAUGUAAGUUAAUGCUAUGCGGUUUGUUCUUUUGGAUAUUCCACAUUUUGAAUAUGUAUUAUAUAAUGAAAUACUGGAAUUAUUAUAAGUUUUUUGUUGCUAUUUAAUUGGUACUAAAAUGAUUGGCAAAGUGUUAGUAACAUGUCCACUUCCGUUACUAAAUGUGCCAACAGAAUUUUUGUUACUGAAUGUACCAACAAAAUUUUGUUGGGAUAACGUCGCUAACAAUACCAACCAUAUAUUCCGUUGGCAUGCUCGUUAUAAUAUUGUUGUUGUAAAAAACGAGAAAUCUGUUAUUAAUGUGUAGUUAUUUCGUUGGUAAAUCUAGUAACGAAUUUGUUUCGUUAGCAUGAACUUCCCGAUGGGCUAUAUGCCAACAAACUGUUUUUGUUAUCAUUCCGUUGGCAAAGAGAUUUACCAACGAAAAUCCAUAUCGUGCCAACAGAAUUUUCUGUCGUUAAAAAUGAAAUUUCUUGUAGUGAUAUAUACUUAUUUAAACAUAAAUUACACACUAACAAAAUGAAUUAUGGACUAUAAAAUAAUACUCACGUUAAUUCAGAAUAUGUUAUGGUUGGAGCUCAUCAACUUUGGAAAGGGGAGAAAUGGAAUGAAGGAAUAAUUUUGAAAAAAGAAGAUCAAACUUGAAAUGCAUUAGGAAUAAGUCUGCUGAUCCUUUUGAUGGACAAUCUGUUUAAAGAUACUUACAAAAUAUAUCCGUUUUUAUUGGUGAGUGUAUUGAUAUCAAAAGUAUCAGAUAACAUUGAACAUUUUAAAUUUUUAAGCCUAUGGAGCUUUUGACAAUGCUAUAGAAUCUAUCAUUUUUUCCUAACUUUAGAUGGAAUGUCAACUGGUUGUCAAAAGUAUGGCUUGACGUGGAAAUUUUCAGAAUUAUGAUAUGUUAAGCGCCAAAAAAAUGAAUAUAAUAUAUAUCUUUGGACGGAUGUCCUUGAAUCAUCUAAAGUUGUCCGUCAAAAGGUAAUAGUUCGUCAAGUGUUUUGGUUCCACCUCAAUCCGUCAAAAGAUGGCCGUAAAAAAAAGCAAGAUGUGUUGUAGUGACAGUGAGAAGGUAAAGCUACAAGUAUAAAUAUAGAUGUCUAGAUAAAAAUUUGUUAAACCUGUAAGAUAAAUUAUCACAAAGUCUGUCGGCAGUUCAUUCAAAUAUAUUAUUCAGAAAUGACCAAUUUAAAUAUGAUGGAUGACAUUGAUUAUGGUUGGUGAAUUUAAAAAUUUUAAAUUCAUAGAAUUUACGACGGACUAUGUUCUUUCCGCGAUAAAGUGUUAUGACGGAAUAUUUGCUCCGUCGUAAGAUCCCGUAAAACAACAUCCAACAUCCGUUGAACUGGUACUUGCGAAUUUUUUUUUCCAAUUAUGGGACGACGGAUACUUGAUUUCCAUCAUAAGAUUGGCGCCCCGCGAAUUCUUAUGUACUAGAAGUGUUUUUUCCUUAUCCUUCUCCUUACUGUUGAACCCGGCCCAUUUUGUAUGGUGACAUUUUGUAGUAAAUAAAAUGAAACCUUUUUUUUUGAAAAGCGGAAAUAAAUACCAUAUAAUAAAAUAGCAGUACAUCAUCUAAUGUCCCUGAGUUUCUAAAACAAAAGAUAGCCUAAACCAACCUACCAGACUAUUUGCAGCAAACCAGAAGCUGCCAAAGGAGAAAGAAACAUUGGGACAAAAACUACCAAUACAUAUAGCUUACAUACUGCUGAUGCGAGAACUACCACUGAGAAUCUAAUAAAACUAAGCAUCGCCACUGCCCGAUGCCUUCGAAGACGAAUCCUCAUCCGGAGCCAACCCCAUCAUAGCCAGAACCUGCUCCACUGUCAUAAAGCCACUAAUUUCUUCAAGAUGAUCUGCAGGUUUGGGGGUAACAUAAAGCCUCUUGAUGAUUUUCUGCAAUGUGCCCUUCAAAGCAUGAUGAAGCACAUCUUUUGCAUAGAUGCCAUUACCAACAACUGCAUCCAGGUUGAUUACCUGCUUUGCAAACUCAUCAGAAUAGCAGGUGAGUUUGCCGCUGUCAAUGAUUUUUACAGCCUCCGGACGGAGUGCACCAUUGUUGCCGAAAGCGUAGUGAGCCAUCACUUUGUCUUUUCCUUUAUCCAUCUGAACAGUGUUAACAAGAUCGAAUCUCCUCUUCUUUGGAGGGAGGGGAGGUGGUGGAGGACCAUCAACGACCUCCCCAUCUCCAAGGAUCAGAUUACCCAUCACAAAAGGGGGGGGUAGGGUUCUCCCCAUAUCCCUAGCCAAAUGAAACUCCAAAUCACCCACAGAGUGUUCCACUUCCCCAAACUCAGACAUGUUUGCUAACCCGUAGUUAGCCAGGUAUUCAGCUGUGGUAUUCAUGAACCUAGGAAUACAUGCAAUUCUCCUUUUUGUGAUCCCUUCCUUAAAGUUGUUAGCAAAUAUCGUGUUGAAGUUACGAUAUACCUCCAGUUGGUCAUCAUUCAGCAUGAUCAUGUCCUGUUGGCCUAUAGUGUCGUAAACACGCUGACUCACAGUCUCGAUGUGAGUUAAGUCCCACUCCUUGGUGAUAGCAUGGUCACAGGCAGCUUGCAAUCCAGUCAUGAUUGCUUGUUCUUCAGUUAAACCUGAGAGUGUGCCAAAAGCUUUCCAAAGAUCCUCGCCCUUGGAGUCUCGGAUGAUUACACCCACCGCUUUGAGAUUACCAACUCCAUUUGGUGCUUGCUGCUCAGCUAUCACACAAUGCACAUUGAUUUUGACAAAAUUCUCAUCAGGAACUUCCCAGAAAGACUCCAUGUUUGAAGGACCAGCUUAAACCAAUGAAAGAGAGCCAGAGAAGUGAAAAGAAGAAGAGAUAUGAGCUAGUAGAGACAAUGGGGCACAAUGCUAUAGGAGGUCUGAUAUAUACAUGCAUUGCGCGAGGCCAGAGAAAACUUUUCUGUAUUUGACGGCGAAUUUGAAAGAUGGAGUCAGAGAAACUCUACAACCUAGGAAAAAACGGUCAUGCCCAUGCAAGAGAACGUUGGGUAAUAUAUAUGACCAUUGGAAAUUACCCGUACUAGUCAGAAGCUUCCCCCUAGAAAAGAUAUGUUGCAGGUCUAGAGCCAGAAAACAGGUCUGAGAUAGAUUUGCCUCCAGAUUUCUUUUCCAAGAGGCUUCUAGCACACGCAUAUACAACAUAUAAAUCACAUACUGAGUAUAGGACGUUGCAACUCGCUCUAGAAACAAAGUGGACCAAAGCUGCAAAUGGAGCCAGUUCGGGAUUAUGGGCCAAACACUGUCCAGUGGGCAGCCAUGGAAGGCCUGGCUAGGCCUUUUUUUGCUAGUGAAUCAGCAUUAUGGUUUAGAAGACGAGGGACAAACUGGAUGAAAAUAGUGGUAUUUAUAAGCGACUGAAAAUGGAAAGAUGUAGCUAUGGCAGGAAAUUCGAAAUGUAGACCUUUGUUAAAAGCAUUUACCGCCACAACCGAGUCGGAACAAAUCACUAUUCUUUUAUCGUGGAAGCAUUUGUGCUUGAGACAUUGAAAAAGAAAAAGUAUUCCUUCAAUUUCUGCAGAUAUUGGGCUAGAAGAAUGAACUGGGCCAGAAAAAGAAAGAAUAAGGCUUCCUUUAUUGUCAUGAAUGGUUCCUCCUAUACCACCUCCAUACAUUGUUUCACUUAUUAGUCCCCAUGCACCGUCUACUGCACAGACCACAUCAAAACAUUGUCUCUUAUGCCUCCAGAAAUUGUUACCUACCUUAAAAGUAUGUAAAGCUAUCGCCCCUUGAGGAUGCACUUUCCAUAGCGGAGUGUCACCAUAUUCCAACAGACCUGAGGCUUUCCCCCAUUUUGAUAUUCGAAUGUAAAGUAGUUCGAUGAGGACAUGCCUCUCUACUCUGACUUUAGAGAAAACCAAUUCGUUUCUAGCGAGCCACAGCGACCACAGUGCUGCUGCUAUCACCAACUGCCAGAUGCGUCUAGACGAAGCACUUACUUUAAAAAGAAGUAGUCUAGAUAAAGAAAAAGAAGCACUAUGGCUUUUAAGUGACGGAAAACUCCACCAGGCACUGAUGAAAUCCCAUACCCAUGUCGAUAACUCGCAUUCCCAGAAGAGAUGCGAGGAAGUUUCAGGAUGUAGGCCACACCAAGGACAAAUAUCUAUCAGUCCUUUAAUUCUGUGUUUGAGAAAGUUUCUGGUGGGCACUAUAUUCCACUGGAUGCGCCAUAAGAAAUAGAGAAUUUUGGGAGGUGCCUUGACUGACCAUAUUAGAUCCCAGAAUCGUUUAUCAAGGGUUGGGAAAUUACUGAGUUUACUCACUUCCAAGUAACAUUCUGACGUGCUGAAUUGCCCAUGUGCAUGGUCCCAUAGAAGUAUGUCGUCUCCUUCUUUUAAAGAGAUGGACUCCAUAACCUUUACUAAACCCUCAUAUUCGCCUGUUAAUGAGUUUAAAGGGUUUGCCAACCACAGAUUCCAACUAUUCCGGUUUGUCUCCCACAAAUACAGAAAUUCCUUGACUGAUAAGUGUUGCUGAAAAGCCAAAGAAUAGAGAUUAUUAAAUUUGCUACAGAGAGGCUCGUCUUCACACCACCAAUCUUCCCAAAACAAGAUUUGAGUCCCAUUUCUCAGACUCCAUUUGAAAUUUUUCCUGCUCAUCAAAGAGGCAACUGGAGGGAUCAUUUGAGCGUUCACUAAACCUGCCAUCAGUCAUAUCCCUAAGUGUACGCACUUAAUGUUCAGGUUUCUUUUCAUAUAGCUUUACCACUGUCAAAUAGUAUCUCUAUCACUUCUAGAAAAUUCAAAUCUUAUCAAACAAUAAUUAUACAUAAAAAAUGUUAAUCUCACUUUUUUUGCCUUCAAAAAAGAAAAUACAUCUGGGCAAAGAAGGCUAGAAAUCCCAGAAGAAACCGAUAACAAAAAUAUAAUAUAUAUGAAAACCCAAAAUAGAAGAAAUUUCUUAUACAGCCAUAACUUGUAACUUCCUCCAUGAGUGCAGUGCACAAUCAAGUCCUGGUGUGAACCUGGAAUUGACAGGAUUAAUAUUAAACAUUAUUAUAUGAUUAAUCUUGCAUAAAAUAGUUGAUAUUGACAAAAUCGUGAUGGAAAUAUAGUUAUUCAUUUUACUCAUGCAUGCAGAACAUCUAACAUAAAGUUACUAAUUGUCAUCUGAUUAGUCCAUUAAGCAUUAAUAAUAUUGUAUCAGAGGAUUUAAGGGAUGUUAUUAGAAGCAGAAUUUCAAGAUGUACUGGUUAAUUAGUAUAGACGAUAUAUACUCCAUAAGUUAAUCCGAACAUAUUUGAAAUGAGAAAGUUAACAUAGUGAACUAUGCUUGUAUACAAAAAUAUACGAACAUACAUUAUUUUGGAAGAAUAUAAAUAAUGGGUCGUCCCCAAAGAAUCAAUAUUUAAAAUAUAAUUAUAAAACCACUAAGGGAUCGUUUGGUUGACGGGGAUCUGGAAUCAGGUAUGGGUUUUGUUCAUUCCAAACCCAUACCUGCUGUUUGGUUGCAAAAAUUAAAUCUUCAAACCCAUACCUCAAACCCCCAAGGUAUGGGUUUUUGAUACCCAAGGGAGGAGGUGGGUAUCAGAUGGGGUAUGGGAAUCAAUUUCAUUUCCGAUAUUUUGGCUUUAUUUCAAUAAUUAAAUAUUAAUUUUUAAUACGACAAUUAUCAAUGAUGCAAAAAUAUACUCCCUCUGUCCCUCUCAUUUCUUUACAGUUACUAUUUUGGGAUGUCCCUCUCAUUUCUUUACGUUACUAUAAAUAGUAAGUUUUUUCAUCAUUACACCCACUAUCUUCCCCCACUAUCUCAUAUUUAACAAUAAAAACUACUAUUACACCCACUACUUUCCUCCACUAUCUCAAAUCUAUUAUUAAAUAUUGAUGGGUCCCACCACUUUAUCCACUUUUCAUCUAACUUUACUCAUUUUUCAUACAUUGUCUUGGUCUCCGUGUCCCCCUCCAAUGUAAACAAUUGAGGGGGACGGAGGGAGUAAUAUUAUAAUAUUUUUUUAAUUUUUAAUUAAUAAUAUAAUUUUUUUAAAAAUUUGAAUAUAUUGAUUCCAGAACACAACCAAACACAUGAUAUCAGAUAUGAUACCUUAAACCCAUACCAUCUUAAUCCGAUUCCUCAUUCCAACCCCAUACCACCCGGCGAACCAAACGACCCCUAAGUUCUUGGUUUUUUUCUAGAAGCUGGCCUAUAAAUAAUUCUUAAUAUGCAUAUUUAUAAUAGACGGGAAAUUUCCGGGUGAACUGUAUAUUAAAUGGGAUAUUUUACUUAGCUUGCAUUAAUUAAAGAAUGAAAUAAUUAACUAAACACGCCUCCCGUUUUGAGGGGAAAAUAUAAAAUUUUAGUUAAAUAUUUUAGUUGGAUCCAGUCAGAUAGAAAAUUUAAAAAUUUGAGAGGGUUUUUCUUCCCUGACAUAAAAUAAUAACUAAAUUAUAUUCAGAUUUGAAGGAAAUUUUUAUGCAUAAAAGAUUCAUUAUUAAAAAAAAUUAAGUAAUUGUUAUUGUGUGUUCCGAGCAUAACUUAGAAAAAUCGAACUUUUAAUUAAUCAUCUCUUGACUCUAGCUCCCUACAAAAUUAAUAAACACUAAUUUGUUAUAUUAGUAUUUUAUAGUGUGUACAAAAUUGUUCUAUAUAUAACUCAGUUUUUUUUUUCCAAAAAUAAAUCAUAAUUUGAUUUUUAUGUAUAAAAAGAGUUCAAGAAAUAAUUACAAUUGAUCAUUUAUUAGUUUUACAUAAAAAACUUAUAAUUUGAUUUAAAGUUUAUUAAAGAGUUCAAGAUACAAUUAAAUCUUAAAAAAUACUCAAAAAUAUCUAAUCACUACUACAAAUUUUCAUAGAGGAGAGGAUUAAGGUUAAUUCUCAUUCAAACUGACCAAAUAAUUUAGGUUGUGUUUAGUGUACCGAAUAAUUUUCUAACAAAUUCUAUAUAUUUUUAAUUUCUGUUUCUUUCCAUUUUGGUAACUGAUAGCUUGCGUGCCUGUAUAUAUGUUUCAUCAGGGUAGUAGUAGUAUAAAUGUAUAAUACCUUGUAAGCCGUCAACAUGAGCAUAAUACUGAUUCCGGAGUUAAACGGAAAGGGCGCCAGAUUCGCUAGUUCCUGAAGUGCUUUUAAGCUAAGUCUCCCCACAGCUUUCCAAAACGGAUUGGUCUCGUAAUUAAAAUAAUCAUCUCUCUGAUUCGCUCCCAUUUUCUGCACCACGCACGUAAUAUGACAUGCAUAAACACUUCUGUUGUAGGUAUUAACGUAUGCCCACCGAGCCCUAUUUCCGGCACGUCCACACAUAUUGCAUGUCAGGUUCAUGCCCCUCAAGUCGUUGUAAAGGCUGUGACUCAUCCCAUUGUACACAUUCAUAUGCACAUUGGAAGAGACCAGCUGCUUCACGGAUUGUGGAGCCGAAUCGAGCUGGUUAUUUGAGUCUGAGAUGGGUUGUACAAAUAUAUCAAAACAUGUGCGGCAAAUUUUAUACUCGUGACCCGCUGUUCUGUAGCACUGGCCGUGGAUUGCGUACUCGCAUAUGUCGCAGUUUGAGUUCCCUGCACCAGCUUGGAGAUGGAGAUUAAGUGAGUCUCUGCGUCCGGAAGCAUUAACAAACCGCAACGCCAUGGAAUGUAACAGGGGUGGCGAUAUUAGACCCGACCCGAUUCAGUCUGGACCCCUGCAUGCAUUAAUUGGAUUUGAUUAAACAAGUCAAGAUGUGUUAUAAAUUCAAAGUAGCGUGCCCAACUAGUUAAAAACCAAGUCAGUUAAAGAGAGACUCUGGGACUAUAAUAUCACAAAUCAAACACAGGACUGCUUCAAAGCUUACCAGCUACGGAUGACACCGGCUAAAUUAUUAUCUGCAAAAAAGGGAAAAAGAAUUAAUAAUUGUAAAGAGAGAUUAUUAUCUGUAAAGUACGUUUGGAGAUGAUAUUCAUCGACUAGAUGAACUAACUUGACUGUAAGGAGAAACACAUACCACAAACCUAGACCAGCCAGAUCUGAAUAUACAAACAGCAAAGAAUAAAGGGAUCUAUAUAUAGAGUUUAUGGCCGCGUUUGGUGUUGUUUUUGUAAAUGAAACUUCUAGGUUUUUACUUAACACUGUAUACUAAAAAAAUUUAGUAUAGCGAUACGUUUAGUACAACGAUAUGUUUGGUACCAGGUUUCUAGUAUCCUAGACGGUUGACAUUGUGCAAUUUACUAUACUAAUCAAAUUAAAUAACUGUUGUGUAUACUUUUGUUCAUCCUCAGUGUGGAAAAGUUUGUAUUUUGAAUAACAAAGAAUUCAAAGUACGCGUAUCAGACUAAAUUUGAUGGUAACAGGAAAAUAACCCUAGUUUUUAUAUUUUAAAUCAAAUUUAAAAAUUCUUUAUAACUUAAAUAUUAUCAGGAUUCUUAUAAUGCUUAAAUAUUUAAAAAUGAAUGAAUGGAUGGACAAAUUAAUUUUGAAUUGAUAAUAGAAAUCAAGAAUAGAUAUACAACUAAAUAACUAAUUGCCUCUGCAGUUUUCAAGCGAAACCUCCUUGCUCAUGUCAAAACGUUUCAGGAACUUUUCGUAGAUUUUUAAUUUAUAAAUUAUACAAGCUAGAAUGGAAAGUUCCAUGUAUUUAUGUCUGCAUAGAUUAAUUUAGAUGAAAUAGUGGUACUCCUAAUAGUUUUGAUUAUUUAAAUUUUUGCAGAUUCACCUGUCUCUCACACUCUUUCUUCUCUGUACGAUAUUUUUUGUAAUAAUUUCAUUUUUAUCCACUUGGAAUGUUUCCGAACAUCUGGGUGUAUAUUUCCGAGAAGUGCGUCUUAUCUUUCUCACUUGCAACAAAAAUUCUUUGCUUGUCAUAUACUUUUACUAAAAAUGUAUAUCUGUACAUACUUUAGGCUUUAGCUGCUUGAUUAAAAAUUGAAAUAAUGCAAAUUUUUAAGUAUUUUGGAUGACGGUGGAUAGGUCAUUUUCGUUUAAUCUUUCUAGUGUUGAACAAAAAUGAAGAAUUUCUAAAAUGAGAUUGUAAGACUUUCUUGAGAAAUUGUAUAUUCACCAUGACAGAUGGUGUGGCCAAAAAAGACGUGUUACAGAUAUAUUAAGAAUUAUACAAUAAUAUACGGUUAAUUAUAUAUAAAAUUUAAUAAUCACAAUAUAGUGUCUUGCUAUCUGUUUUAAGCAAUUAUUAUCAUACUUUUUGUAAAUGUUACUUUAAGAAUGAUACUACUUUGAUAAAGUAGUAAGUUCAAGUAUUAGGUUUGGAAAAAAAUCACAAUUUAUAAUUUAUAUAUUAUAUUAUGAUCAAAAUAUAGUAAGUUCAAAAAAAGUUCACAAUUUUUCACCUGCGUCGUAAGUAUGAUCAAGUGUCGUAAGUUUUAUCUAGUGAGACCCACAAUUUCAUGAAAAUAAUAGCUAACCUUACGACGACACAAUAAAUCGGUCGUAUGUUUCACAUUUAUGACACAACUUUCCGUCAUAAAGUAACUACCAACGAAAUCUAUUAUGAACGUCCGCCGCAAGUUUCGGAGAAAACUUAAACUUAAUUAAACUUACGACAUAUAUUUCCGUCGUAAGUUUAAAUUUAUCUUUUACUCAAAAUUUUGGAAGUUUUUCUAAUUUUAAAAAUAUUAUAAUAAAGAACUUACGACAUCCUAAGAUCCUGUUUGUCGUUGUGCUUGUAGUCAAUUUUUUCUAACUUGAGUUGUUUAAGAGCACCUUUGCAAACGAGACUAGCAACUCAGUUCAUAGUAUAGUUAAUUAUCAACCAUUUUUAAGUAAAAUUAUAUAUGUUUGAAUAGGGAGAUCUCUUAAAUGAGAUAUUGCAGGUUAUGGUAAUAAUACAAACUUUAUCAAGAACGAACGAUGUGAUUUCAUACCUACUUUUAUAAUUUAACGAAGUUUCAACACAGAAUAAAGGAUAUCUAUGUAUUGGCAAAUACUUGAUACUCCCUCCGUCCCACCAGAUUCUUUACGGUUUCCUUAUUUGGCCGUCCCACCCAUUUCUUUACAUCACAAAACUUUCCUAAAAUAGUUAAUGAGUCCCACCAUUUUCUCACUUUUUCUUCCCUUUCACACUACUUUUACUCCACCAACUCCCUUUUAUAUAUUAAAAAUCAAUGGGUCCCACUACUUCACCCACUUUUCCUUCUCUUUUCCACUACUUUAUACAUAUUUCUUAACCUCCGUGCCCAAACCCAAUGUAAAGAAUUGGGUGGGACGGAGGGAGUAGUUAUUAUAGAGCAGGCCACUCAGAUUGAAAGGAUUCAUUCAUUAGUGGAACGUUUAUUGCUUGUAUGAAAAAAAUAUGCCAUUUUUGCAAAUUUUUGAUAUUAUCAUACACAAAAUUUUAUAUUGAGGAUUUAUUUAAUAAAUUUAUUAAAGUAAUACAAGAUUUUUUAAUACUUAUAUAUGUUCAAAUAGAUUUAAAAAUAAAAUAUCAAAAUAGAUUUUAGAUAAUAAUACUUAAACAUGUUUAGAUAAAAUUAGGCCUGAUAAAAUAUAUUUUGAAAUGAAAAGGCUUUUUAGCACAUCCACCAACAAUCCGUCAAACCAUUAUUUAAUAUCUAUAUUCAUUUAGAAAUAGGCCUGAUGUAAAAAAAAUUCUUAUAUAUUAUUUUUAGUACAAUUAGAAAUAAAUAUUUAUAUUAUAUAUACAAAUUUUUGACAUAAUUAAAUUUAGGAAAAUAUAAAUUUCUAGAAUAUUUUUUAAGUAGUAAACUAGAUUUUUAAAAUAGAGAAUACAAUACAGAGUAAAAUAUUAAUUAAUCAUAGAUGUUAAAAAUAUUAUUAUAUUAUAAAAGAUAAAUUAAUAUUUUCCAAUUAACAUUUUUUCCUAAUGUAUAUAUACAUAAUAUAGUGAGUGUCUGAGUAAGAAAUCGGCGAUUUUUUUUGUUAAAAAGAUGACGUCCUCUUAUCUUUGUUUCGAGAUGUCUAUCCAAAUUUUUAUGAGCUUUUAUAUUAAGUUUAGAGGUGUUUGGCCGAAUUUAAAAACCCGACUUCUGAAAAUCAAAAAAUAUUUUUAUACAUUAUUAAUUUAUAAAUCUUAAUUUAAUUUUAAUUUGGAUACCCUUAAUAAGUGUAUUGCUAUUUAUCUUUCGAAUUAUUUUAUCUAUUGAACAUUCACAACUUAGAUGUGGGUGAGAUACAGCUUCACUAGAAGUGGGGAAAGGACUAUUCUCCGCUGAGUUAAUAUGUAUAUUAGUGUUAGAACUUGUGUGUUGGAGAAUGAGGUCAUAAAACCUGAUUCAUUUCUAAUAUAUUUUUUAUACAUAUAUAUUUUACCAGCAAGUAAUAUAUUAAUAUGUGUUAUGAUGCAGUAUAAAUAGAGAUUCAUGUUAUAUGUUUUAUUUUCUCCCAAUAUGCAGUCCAUGACAUAUUCUUAUAUUCAUGUCAUACAUAAAAAUUAUGUUUAACACUAAUAGGAGUCUUAUAAGCAUUAUUCUUAUAAUUUCCACACAGACACUUAAUAAGCCCAUCAUUUUUUUUACGAAGAUUGUGAAAGGCAAAUUUAAUGAAUCAUCAACACCAUUUUUAUAUUUGUUCGUUAAAUAUUUUGAUUCAUUAAAUCGAUCAAGACUAGUCCAACUACGAUUGGAUGCCCCCUACAGUAAAUACAUACAUCGAGUUUAUUUAUAUGCAUUUCAACAAAAACACACUAACAAAAAUGUGCUACAACUAUGUACAAAUUUAUCACAACUAUAGAAACAUUAAAAAUUUAUAAAUAUAUAUAUGAAACAAAAUGCUACUAUCACAAUAAUUAAUAAAUAUAUAUAGAUUAUUAAUUAAAAAAAAGUACUUAUUUGAUGUUUUAUGAAGACUCCAUUUGAAAUUCAGAAACUUUGGGAGUAAAGAAAGAGAGAUUAAUCGGGGUAAGAGGUGAAAGAUAUUAAUUGAGGAAACGGUUAUCAGAGGAAAGAAGGUUUGAGCAAGAAAAAAGAGGGAAAAAAUUCGAAUAGCCAAAACAGCCCGUCCAAAUUUAAUUUAUUUUCAACCGGCUAAAUUCAAACGUCUUUAUUUUCGAUUCAAUAUGUUGACUUCUAAUAUUUUUGUAGGGCUGAUUUUGAUUGCUUGUAUUUUUGAUUAAAAUAACUUUCGUCUGAUAUUCCGCGAUCGAAAAUAGGUUUGUUUUGUAAUAUAUAAUUAAAAAGUUAGCUUAAAUUUAAAAUAAAGUCAUAUAAAUAUGCGGAAAGAAGAAGUCCAAGAACUCGUAUAUAUUCGUUAAUGUUGAACAAACAGGUUAUGAACUUAUUGAUUUUUUUAUACCACAACCAUGGUCUCUAGUCUCCACGGUAUUUACUUAUCUGGAGUUUUAAUUCAUUGUUCGUUGAUAGAGAAAACAAUACGAAGUAUCCAUUCAAGCUUUCACAUCGCCAAAUUAAAUAGACAUUGACCCGUACAGUGUUACAAACACUACUUCUAUGAGUACAGUUAAGCUCCCCAGUGAUAGGUGCAAAUUGUUGUUAUUUAUGAAGCAGAUAAUGUUAACCUAUCAAUCUAGUUAAUCAAAAGUAUUUUAAUGCAACAAAGUAUAUGAGCAGUUUGAGUCAUCUAAACCCCGCCGCGUGAAAAAUACAACAUCAAGAUUGUUAUACUAUAUCCAUCUUAGAUUUUACAAAAAAAUAUUUCAGUUAUUAUUUUCUCAUUUCAUGAAAUUAUAAUAUUUUUUCUAAAAUAUAUUAUAAUUAAUAAAUAUAUAUAAUUCGAAAAACUAAUUAUAAUAUAAUUUCUUAUGUUAUGAUUUUCUUUUCUUUCGAGAAAAUGAACUAUAAUUCCUUAAAAAUAUAAUAUUAUUAUUAAGGUAUUAAUAAUUUGGUGGUAAAUAUAAUAUAGUUACGUGGUCGAUUAUUCCUUGGGAUCAUGAUUAUAAGAGUUUUGGACUUAGUUCAUUAUUUUUUAUUAAUUUUUAUAACCUGUUAUUUUAGUUGUGCGCUAAAUGAUAAAUAUUUUAAUAAUAUAUAUUUUUGUUGAUUAAUAAAUAUAUAAUAUUUAGAAUAUAAUGUCUCAAACUAUGGGUCACUUCAUAUCGAACCACUUUAUAUAUGGGAAUAGAGAACACCUGUAUACAUACACAAUAUACAUAUAUACAUAUACAUAUACAUAUAUACAUAUAUAUAUAUAUAUAUAUAUAUAUAUAUAUAUAUAUAUAGUGUGUGUGAUGUUAUUUAUUAAAUAUUUAAUUAAUAAAUUAAAAGAUAAAAUUUCAUUACUUUUUUCUAAACAAAUAAUUAAAAAUUAAUUACAAUAUUUCAACUGUUGUAGAACUAUAUUCGUCCAAGAUGAUUGUGCAAUAAUUCAAAUUUCAAAACGGGAAAGUAAAUUUUUCUUGUCACCCAACUAAUUAUACUUUUAAAAACUUACCACGUUGUGAGUAUAUUAUAUAUGAUUAAUAUAUUCCGCUCAAGACUAUAAGAUAGUUGUUUCAAUGUUUUUUUUAAUAUGUAACUAAUAUGUUGUGAGAUUAACAAAUAAAUCGUGUGAAAAACUCACCGUUAUCAAAUUAGUUAUGUGACCUCUUCCCCUCUUCCAGGUUCUGUUAUACGUCCAAAUAGCUAAACUUAAAUAAUCAUCGAUAGAGUGGAGAGCGCGUAAAUCCCUACAUUUUCAACUAGACAUUUGUCGACAUGACAAAGAUAUUAAAAUAUCGGCGUUGAAAAUAAAAAAUGGAAGGACUUUGCAAACAAAUUAAACAGUAUUUUCGUUGCAAUAUUGUACGUCGAGAUGAGAAGGUAGAAGACGGUACAUUAUUCUCUUACACACAAAAUUUUACUAUAUAUACUUAGCAUUGACACAGCUGCAAGUAACUACUAGCAUAUUAUAAAUUACAUAAGCUUGAAUAUUAAAUUUCACAACUAUUUCCAGUAUUACAUGUAUGAUGAUGCAUGUAAAUGAUGUGUAUAAACCAAAUAUUCUUCGCUACCUUCCAAGUGACAAUUGCCAUAGUACCAACCCUAGAUGAUACAUGAUGGACUUGGUUUCUGUCCCUUUCUCUCUCUCUCCAGAAUGGGAGAGCCGUUCCUGUGUUUAUGUAUAUGUGUGUAUGGAGUUUCAUUCUUCUCCCCCUUUCUCUCUCUUCUUUCUUUCCCUUUUAUACUCCCUCUCCUCCUGAGUCAUCUUUUCCUCUUUCCCUCUCUUUGAGACACCUUGGCUAUUCUAUUACUAGAGUAGGUGAUUAAUAUAGAUAAUUACAACAGGCAGAUAGGUGAGCUGGAAGGGAAGGAUGGGUGUUAUUUUGGGAGGAUGACACGUGUCGUCUUGCUACGCUACAG
rnacentral:lncRNA from 1 species